GAGACAACCAUGUUAUUGAAAUGACACCAUAUAGGAUACUCCUUAUUCAUAUUUAGUGGUUAAGGAACACUUGCAUCUACAAAUUCUACUCUAUUUUUGGCACUAAAAGUAGUUUAUGAAGACAUUCCCCUUAGCUGAUCAUUUAAGGAAUAUUAAAUAGGUGUAACUAGAACAAUUGCAAAAAUUUUCUCUCGCCUCAUACAUUGUUGACAAAGAAAAGGAAAGUAACAAUGACAUGAAACAAAUAUUGGGUGUGCAAUACAUGAAUAACUCUAAUACCAUAACAAAGAUCUUAGGAUCAGAAUGAAUAGGAGACAGAACAAAGUAUAGAGAGAAAAUGCAUAUGUGAUAAGCAACAACCAUUGUACUAUUAAUGGGAAGUUUGAUAUACAAUCGAUAGGAAAAAAUAAAUAAAAAAUACUUAGAAUAGAUAAUUACUAAGCAAGUGAAAGUUAUAAAGGAGAGAUGAGGAUGCAAUGUCUUUCUCAUUCAAACCUAAAGUCAUGGCUUGAAUGAUGAGAUUUAUUGCUUGAGAGAUAAGAAGGAAAUUUGUAUGAUAACUUUUUGUAUCACUUGGAGAUCUCAUACCAAUUAGAGAUAAGACAAAUUUACAGUAUAUUAAUAGGUGUAAACCUCGCGUUAGAAGCUAGUUUGGUAGAGUUAAGUUAGGAUUAAAAGUCACUUUUUAAUAUGAUAUUAGAUUCAUUUAAUGCCUAUCCCAAAACUUUUUAACUCAAUUAUAAGUGUAUCAAAUUGUACAUGUAGUAAAAUGAAAAGUUCAAGUAUCACUUGCUCAAAAGGUUUGCACAAUAGUAACAAAGUAUACAAUUGAUAACUAAUUUAGCCAAAAGAAUAUUUUCAUAAUUUGUGGGAUGUUUAGGGAAUUAAAAUUAUGCAAAGACAAUUGAAAUACUUUUGAAAGUUUAACAAGCAUUUAAGAUCUGGAAAGGGUUAGAAAUGAUGUGGUAAGUUAUUAUUAGGGUUAGACUUCACCAAAUCUCACUCUCAUGUAUUUAACCACUCAACAUCUUUUCAUUUUAAUGCCAAAGUAAACUCAUAGUUUACUCAAAUCCUAAUUUGUUAAUUAGUAGAAUAAGCCUAUAUAUCUUUAUUAUUAUUCAAUUCCUUAAGUACUUAAGAACAAUUGUGUUUUCACAAUAAGGAUUUAAAACAACUAACAAGUCUAUCUUCAUUUCAAGAUACAAGCUUCAUUAGAUAUUUUGUUCUAUCUGUAGAAUACAAAAGAUAUUUUUCAAUACCUAAAUAACCAAAUAUCAAGUCAUAGAUGAAUAGGCCGCAACAAGCAUUAAACACAUAAAAUAAACACUAACAUUUAAUGGAGAGACAACAUAUAUAUAUAUAGUAGUUACAUUAGACUUCAGUUGGUGUUGGUCGGUUCGACAAGUGUACCAAAUCGUUCAAGUAAUAAAACCAUGGUAAGACUAGGUAUCGUUUUCCCAAGAGACUCGUAAUACUAGAGAAUUGUGCGAUUAACAGCUAAUCUAGACUCAAGAACAACUCAUCAUUUAAGAAUAUGUGCAAAAAGAUAAAUUCACAAAUAAUUACAAGAUUGGACUUUGGUAUUGAAGGCACUUAGAAAUGGAAAAGACUAGAAAUGGUAUGAAAUGUCAAUAUUAAGAUUAGAUUCCACCAAUUCACUCUUGUGUAUACCCACUUUCAUCUCCUCUCCAUCAAUUUACUAAAGUCAAUCCACUAAAACACUCUAACCCUAAUCCCUUAGGUGAAAGAGCCUAGGUUUUCCCUAUUAAACCUCAAUCCCUUGGAAAAUCUAACAAGCAAACCCACAUUAUUGAGCUAGGAUCUUAAGACAACAUGUGAAUCAUCUUCCAUCCCUAGAAUCAAUGACCACAAGGACCCUUGUUUCAGUUCAAGAUUUCAUGUUACGUCCCCAUAAUCCAUGAAACCCCAAAAUCAAGUCAUGAAUGUCCCUAUUACAUGCAAGUUUUAAGAUCGGAAACAAGAAUACUAGUAAAAGAUAGAAAAGGCAUAUAUAAAUAUGAAUCAAUCAUUCAUUACACAAGACUUCAUAGGCUACAUCUAACCCUAACAAGAUGGAUCUGGUUCUCCACUUCCAUGAAGAACCCUAAAGCUUACAAACAUGGUGGAUGGAAGAAGAAGGAGACCCAAAGAAAGAGGAGGAGAUGUUCCCACAAGCUCCUCGCGCCCUCCAUGAGGUCCAACCGUGAAAUCGCGCCUCCAAAGAACCAAAGACCCAUUUCCCUUUGCGUUUCAGGUCUAAAUAGACCAUAACUGCCACAUCAGCAUCGUCACCGCUCAAGCAGUAGCCCAACGGUAGCCUUCCCGAGAACAGAGAGCUCAGUUGUCGCUCAAGCGAUACCCCAACGCCAGAAAUUCCAAUGACAGAGAGUCCAGUGGUGGCCCAACAGUACCUCAGUGACAACAUUCGAGAGACAUGGUACUCAAGUUGUAGCCUAGCGGCAACCCAGCGGCCACAUUCCAAAACUCUCCUUUUUUUGCUGUUUUGCUUGCUUUUAUGGCUGUUUAAGCUCUUUAAAUUGAUGUAGAUUCUUCCAAGCACAUUUUUAGCUACAAAAUAAAGGGGUUAAAGAUGAAAUUACAUCAAAGUAGCCUAAAACACAUUUAUUCAUAAAACUAAGAUAAAAGAGAGGAUUAAGUAAGUUUCAAGCUAGGAAAUAGUUGAUUUUGCUACUAAAAUGAUGCUUAGAUAAUGAUAAGAAUUAGCAUUAUCAGUUGGUUGCAUCUAGCCCUAACAAAAUAGAUUUAUCUUUUCAUUUUCAUCAAGGGUCCCAAAAAUUAAAGAUGAAGCAAUUGAAGAUGAUUGAGAUCUAAGAAGGAUGAAGGUGAUAUUCCCAUAAGCCCUAGCUAGUAGCCAUUCGCAAGUGUUUUUCAUGCUUCCAAACCUUCAAAGUUCGCUUUCUCUUUAGGAAAAAAAAAAUAGGACAAAAAUGUCAACUCGAUAAAAGUAUUGUCCAACAUCAGUUCUUUCUUUGAGUUUCGCCCAGUGAAAGCUUUUCCCCGCUACGCACCUUCACUCGAAGCCAAGAGAUGAAGACUUUGUCCUAUUGGGCCUAUCGAGGAAGUGGUUUACUGGGGAGACACAAUACCAAAUGAGAUCUCAGCCCAACCAUAUAAGGGAUUGACACCAAUCUCUACCCAAAACCUUAAGGCAAUGGGUUAAUGGGUCUUUCACUUUUAUAUAGUGUUCUACUUUCUCAUUUCUAUCCAAUGUGGCAUAGACUAACAUGUCCAACCAUCGUUUGGUGCAGUUGAAGCCACAGUCAAGGUGAGUGACCUCUAAAAGUUUGUGCCUUAUGUCGUACAAGUGGCGCCCAACGUUGUUCACCACUAGGAAUUGGCACCUAACCUUGACUUUGUGGUGUUCAACACUAGUAGAAUCUUUUUCUCUUACUAUAAGAAUGUAUGCAUAUAGCAUUGGUGAAAACGAGACGCCACAAGGCCAAAACUGGCUCCAAUAGCAAGAUGGUGUUAGUCCAAUGAUGAUGAGACAUACGAUGUAAAUGCCAAGGAUGCAAAGCCUCUUUGCAUAAGUUAAUGGACAUGAGGAGUUGUUGCUUGAUUAUCAUCGGCUUAACUGGCAUUAAGACAUGUUUCAGUAAGGAUUUUAUGGGACUGAGACACUAACAUUUCCAAUGUGUUCUCCUUGCCUCUGAACACUUGGAUAGCUUGAGCCACUUGCCUUCCUUCAGCCUUGACCGCUCGGUUGCCUCUGGUCUGGAUCGCUCGGUUGACUUCUUGAUCAGGAUGAGGUAGGUACCUGCAAAAGGCACUCCAACGCUCAAGUUAGUACCGGUUUUGGGAAUUGUGUAUCACAACUGUAUGUUUGAGUUUUGAUCAAACCUUAGUAAGAUGUAGUGGAGUGUGAAUUGAGCGUGAGUUAAGCGUACCUGACUUUUGGCCCUAACUUUAUAUUUAUAAGUUGUCUCAUGGACCCUGAACUGACACAAGUAAUAUAAAAUAUAAACAAACUUACCUAAAAAUAUGGCUAGUUACUCAUAAACCACUUAUCAAUAUCUUAACCGCUUAUCAAUAUCUUUAAUCAGAUCUUCAAUCAGAUAUUCUAGAUUAUUUUAUCUUCUGUUGGACUUUCUUCCCAAUGGCUUUAGACUCUGGCUCACUUUUGGCCCAUCAUUUAUAAAAAUCUGUGUGCCCUGGUUGGCCAUAGCGGUGAUUGAAAGGUGCUGAGUGGAUGACCGUUCGGUCUCAACUAGGUAUAAUACAUAUGCCCCCCAAGUCCGAGUUAAGCGCCCGACUUUAGCCACGAUUAACUAUAGGACUUAUGAAUUUGAGGGAGGUUGCUUUUAGUCGUUGUUUGUAGAUGACCAAACGACUGAACACCUAUGACUGUUUCAAUUUAGGAAGAGAGUGAGCGUUCAUGGAGAACGUUCCCCACCACUUGGUUUAGGACGAGAGUGAGUCCGUAUAGAACCUCAUCGCUCGGUUUAGGACAAGAGUGAGUCCAUAUAGAACCUCACCGCUCAGUUUAGGACCAGGGGUUCUCGGAGAGCGUUCCCUGGGUUUUGUGGACGAGAGUAAGCGUUCACGGAGAACUUUUCCCACCACUCGGUUUAGGACGAGAGUGAGUUCAUGUAGAACCUCACCGCUUGGUUUAGGACUAGGGGUUCUCGGAGAGCGUUCCCUAGGUUUUGUGGACAAGAGUGAGCGUUCACGGAGAACGUUCUCCACCGCUCGAUUUAGGAUGAGAGUGAGUUCAUAUAGAACCUCAUCGCUCGGUUUAGGACCAGGGUUCUCGGAGAGUCUUCCCUGGGUUUUAUAGACUAGAGUGAGCAUUCAGGAAAACGUUCCACACCGCUCGAUUUAUAGUCCAUGGGGGACUGUCUUUAUAUGCUGUAAAUUUGUAUAAGCUUGUUCGCGUUGAUGGUUUCCUCUAUCGGGACCAAUAUUUUGGGGUGUGGUUUACAUGAUGAUGCUGAGACUGUGUCCUUGCGUGGUUCCUUGCGGUUUUAGUGGGAUGUCUCCCGGUCCCACGGUGGGUGUCGAAAUAUUUCAGUAAGAAUUUUAUGGGACCGAGACACUAACAUUUCUAACAUGAUCUCCUUGCCUCUAAACGUCUGCAUAGCUUGAGCCACUCACCUUGCUUCAGCCUUGACUGCUCGGUUGCCUCUAGUCUGGACCGCUCGGUUGCAUUUAGUCUGGGCCGCUCGGUUGACUUCUUGAUCAGGAGGGUGGAGUUACCUGUAAAAGGCACUCUGACGCUCAAGUUAGUAGCGGUUUUGGGAAUUGUGUAUCACAAUUGUAUGUUUGAGUUAUGACCGAACAUUAAUAGGAUGUAGUGGAGUGUGAGUUGAGCGUGAGUUAAGCGUACCUGGCUUUUGGCCCUGACCUUAUAUUUAUAAGUUGUCUCAUGGACCCUGAACUGACACAAGUCCAACAAAAUAUAAAUAGACUUACCUAAAAAUCUAGCUAGUUACUCAUACACCGCUUAUCAAUAUCUUUAGUCAGAUAUUCUUGAUUAUUUUAUCUUCUGUUGUACUAUCAGUCCAAUAGCUUUAGACGUUGGUUCAAUUUCGGCCCAUCAUUUAAAAAACUGUUUGUCCUGGUUGACCAUAGCGGUGACCGAAAGGUGCUGAGUGGAUGAAUGUUCGGUCUCAACUAGGUACAAUACAUAUGUCUCCCAAGUCCGAGUUAAGUGUUCGGCUUUAGCCACGAUUAACUAUAGGACUUAUGAAUUUGAGGGAGGUUGCUUUUAGUCGUUGCCUAUAGAUGACCGAACGGCUCAACACCUGUGACUGUUUUAGUUUAGAAAGAGAGUGAGCGUUCACGAAGAACGUUCCCUACCGCUUGGUUUAGGACGAGAGUGAGUCUGUAUAGAACUUCAUCGCUCGGUUUAGGACGAGAGUGAGUCCCUAUAGAACCUCACCGCUAAGUUUAGGACCAGGGGUUCUCGGAGAGCGUUCCCUGGGUUUUUGUGGAUGAGAGUAAGCAUUCACGAAGAACGUUCUCCACCGCUCGGUUUAGGACGAGAAUGAGUUCGUGUAGAACCUCACCGCUUGGUUUAGGACCAGGGGUUCUCGGAGAGUGUUCCCUGGGUUUUGUGGAUGAGAGUGAGCGUUCAAUGAAAAUGUUCCCCACCGCUCGGUUUAUAGUCCAUGGGGGACUGCCUUUGAUUUAUAUAUGCUGCAAAUUUUUAGAAGCUUUUUGACGUUGAUGGUUUCCUCUAUCGGGACCAAUAUGUUGGGGUGUGGUUUACAUGAUGAUGCUGAGAUUGUGUCCUUGCCUAGUUCCUUGCGGUUUCAAUGGGAUGUCUCCAGCCCCACAUUGGGUGCCAAAAUGUUUCGGUAAGGAUUUUAUGGGACUGAGACACUAACAUUUCUGACGUGUUCUCCUUGCCUCUAAACGCCGGGAUAGCUUGAACCACUCACCUUCCUUCAACCUUGAUCGCUCGAUUGCCUCUAGUCUGGACCGCUCGGUUGCGUUUAGUCUGGGCCGCUCGGUUGACUUCUUGAUCAGGAGGGGGAGGUACCUACAAAAGGCACUCUAACGCUCAAUUUAGGAGCGAUUUUGGGAAUUGUGUAUCACAAUUGUAUGUUUGAGUUCUGAUCGAAUGUUAGUAGGAUGUAAUGGAUUGUGAGUUGAGCGUGAGUUAAGCAUACCUGAUUUUGGCCCUGGCCUUAUAUUUAUAAGUUGUUGCAUGGACCUUGAAUUGACACAAGCACAAUAAAAUAUAAACAGACUUACCUAAAAUCUGACUGAUUACUCACAAACAGUUUAUCAAUAUCUUAACCUCUUAUCAAUAUCUUUAAUCAGAUCUUCAAUUAGAUAUUCUUUAUUAUUUUAUCUUCUAUCGGACUAUCGGCCCAAUAGUUUUAGACGUUGGCCCAAUUUUGGUCCUGGUUAAAACCAUUUGCCCUAUAAUACAAGAAAAAAAAAUAUAAUAAUAAUUGGGAGUUACUCCCUGUACCUCCCCAGUUCCAACCCCCNNNNNNNNNNNNNNNNNNNNNNNNNNNNNNNNNNNNNNNNNNNNNNNNNNNNNNNNNNNNNNNNNNNNNNNNNNNNNNNNNNNNNNNNNNNNNNNNNNNNNNNNNNNNNNNNNNNNNNNNNNNNNNNNNNNNNNNNNNNNNNNNNNNNNNNNNNNNNNNNNNNNNNNNNNNNNNNNNNNNNNNNNNNNNNNNNNNNNNNNNNNNNNNNNNNNNNNNNNNNNNNNNNNNNNNNNNNNNNNNNNNNNNNNNNNNNNNNNNNNNNNNNNNNNNNNNNNNNNNNNNNNNNNNNNNNNNNNNNNNNNNNNNNNNNNNNNNNNNNNNNNNNNNNNNNNNNNNNNNNNNNNNNNNNNNNNNNNNNNNNNNNNNNNNNNNNNNNNNNNNNNNNNNNNNNNNNNNNNNNNNNNNNNNNNNNNNNNNNNNNNNNNNNNNNNNNNNNNNNNNNNNNNNNNNNNNNNNNNNNNNNNNNNNNNNNNNNNNNNNNNNNNNNNNNNNNNNNNNNNNNNNNNNNNNNNNNNNNNNNNNNNNNNNNNNNNNNNNNNNNNNNNNNNNNNNNNNNNNNNNNNNNNNNNNNNNNNNNNNNNNNNNNNNNNNNNNNNNNNNNNNNNNNNNNNNNNNNNNNNNNNNNNNNNNNNNNNNNNNNNNNNNNNNNNNNNNNNNNNNNNNNNNNNNNNNNNNNNNNNNNNNNNNNNNNNNNNNNNNNNNNNNNNNNNNNNNNNNNNNNNNNNNNNNNNNNNNNNNNNNNNNNNNNNNNNNNNNNNNNNNNNNNNNNNNNNNNNNNNNNNNNNNNNNNNNNNNNNNNNNNNNNNNNNNNNNNNNNNNNNNNNNNNNNNNNNNNNNNNNNNNNNNNNNNNNNNNNNNNNAACUAAUAAAAUAAAAAUCUAAUAAAAACAAAUCUUAAAAAAUAAAACUAAUAAAAACAAAUCCUAAAAAAUAAACUAAUAAAAACAAAUCUUAAAAAAUAAAAUUAAUAAAAACAAAUCUUAAAAAAUAAAACUAACAAAAACAUAAUAUAAUCUAAAAACGCUUAAACGGAUUUGGGAAUCCGUCAACGGAUGUCAACAUUCGUUUAAGGAUAAACGGAAGUCGCCAUCCGUUUUAACGGUUUUACGAAAGUAUUACUAACCUGGACUCCAAGAGGAUCGCUGCUGAGGUUGGAUAGAACACCACCACACCAAUGUUGAGGUUGGAUAGAAUACCACCACACCAAUGUAAUGCAGAGAUAUAAUAAUUUAAGGACAAAUUCUUUCAGAACAAAUCGAUAUCUCAAUUAUCACUUGAAAUACGAAGAAUGGGAGAAAGAAUUUCUAGAAAAAUAGAACAAAGAAUUCGUGGGAAGAAAGCGUAAAGAUGAAAGCAUGAAGAUAAAAAAAAAAUAGGUUAUGUGGGGGUGGGAGAAUAAAAUUAUAAAAUUGUAUUUCUAAAUAUAAAUUUUUGCUAAAGAAUAAAAUUGGAAUAGAAAAAAUAGAGGAAAGGGUAAAAAUGGAAUGGGGGUGGGGGUUGGAAUUGGGGAGGUGCAGGAGUAACCCCCAUAAUAAUUCUAUGGUGCGUGGGUCAAGCCCAAACAUUAUAGGAACGUAAUAAAAUAUUUAAAACGCCUUUGGUCAAUUUAGAUAAUGCAAACUCAAAGAAUUGUUUAAUAUUUAACGCAUUAGCAUUGGUAUAGCAUGGGCCUUGCCAACGCUAGAGAAAAUAUUAAAUAUAGAAUAUAGAAUUUACCACCACAACAUCAAUAUAUAUAAUACUUAUGUUUUUCAAAACUUCACUUAGUUAUAAAUUAUGACAAUUAUAUCAUAUUCAAAUUUAUGCUUAAAAAUAUUUUUAUACUGUGAUUACCAGAAAAACAUUUGGUCUUUAAUUAAUAAAUUUUAAAACUUUUUUAUCUGUAAAAUAUUUUUUUUAUUUUUUUCUCAAAAGUAUUAUUUAAAUAGUUACGGUUGGAAAUAGUAUUUAUAUUCUCAGAGACAAAUAAAAACUCAUCAUUUAUUAAGAACACAAAGUACAUUUAAUUUUCAAAUUUAAAUUAGUUUGCUUCAAUUAUUAUUAGCAUAGACAUUAUAUUAUCUUUAAUUUUAAACAAAAUCCAUUUUUAUGAUAACUUGUAAAAUAUCUUUAAUCAUUAUACUAUAUUUAACGUGUUAUUUUCACAUUAAUUUAUUGGUGGUCGAAAGAAUAUAUUAAAGUUAUUUUCUUAUAUAAAUAAAUAAUUAUUUAUAAAAAUAUUUGUCCGGUAUAUUUUGAAAAACAGACAAGUAAUAAAAAUGAAAAUAGUAAUUGUGUCCUUGUAUACUUAUUUUCAUUUAUGUUUACUUAACUUUUUGAAAGGUGAAAAUGCUUGUAAUAGUCUCCAGUGAUUUCUUUCUUAGUAUGUUUGUACAAUUUAGUCUUUACAUAUUAAGACGUAUGUUAAUCAAUUCAAAUUUUGUGAUAAAUAGUUAGUGCAUUAUAAAAAACCAAAUACACAAACAUUUCUAUGUGCACAUAGCUAACAAGGUAUUCAAGCUACAACAACGAAUUCUUUUAUUUUCGUUACUAAUAUAACAACAUCUAUUAAAGGUAUGUAAGACAAAUUUUUAUUUUAUUGUUUUCUUUUAUUUGCUUCAUCUCUUGCUAUAAUACACGACUAAAUAUUAAUUUGUAGAUAACUAAAGAGUGAUAAACUCGUUAUGUAUAGGAACCAAGUCAAUUUGAAUGGAGGAUUUUUUUCUUUCCAUCGCAACAAAGAUUGCAGAAUAUGCAGUGCAUCCAAUUUUACAUCAUGCUCAAUACUUGUGUUGUUUCAACAAAUUUGCUUCCAAUCUUCCAAAUGCCAAAGAACAAUUGGAAUUGACUCGAGAUGAAGUGAAGGAGCGAAUUAGAGAAGCCAUAAAUAGAGUUGAAAAAGUUGAGCCAACUGUUGAGAAGUGGCUGAAAGAUGUUGAAAAAGUCUUAGAAGAAGUGCAAAUGCUCGAAGAAAGAAUAUUGAGCUUGAACAAAUACUAUUUUAGAAGGCAAUGUCAAUAUUCCCUUGCAAAACAAAUAGAAAGAAAAACAUCUGAAAUGAUUCAGCUCCAUCGUAAUAACAAGUUUGAACCGUUUUCGAAGAUUACUGAACUCCCAGGCAUGCAGUACUAUUCUUCCAAAGAUUUCUUUAUGUUCAACUCUACAGAAGCAUCUUACAAGAAGCUUCUAGAAGCAUUAAAUAAUAAAAGUGCUUUUAUAAUUGGAUUAGUUGGAUUAGGAGGGUCAGGGAAAACUACUUUGGCAAAAGAAGUGGGUAAAAAAGCUGAAGACAUGAAACUCUUUGAGAAGGUUGUCUGGGCAACAGUGUCUCAACCUCUAAAUAUAAGAAGUAUUCAAGAUCAAAUUGUUGAUCAAUUGGGCUUCAAGUUAACGGAAGAUUCAGAUAUAGGUAGAGCUCGUAGGCUAUCAGAGAGAUUGAAAAAAGGUACAACUCUUAUAAUCAUGGAUGACAUAUGGGAAAUUCUAAACUUUGAAACUUUGGGUAUUCCGCUUAAUGAAAGCAGUAAGGCUUGUUGCAUAUUGAUAACUACACGAAGUAAAGAAGUAUGCACUUCUAUGCAAUGCCAAAGUAUAAUUGAACUUAAUCUUUUGAGUGACGAGGAAGCUUGGACUUUGUUCAGACAUUAUACAAACAUAACUGAUGACUCCUCAGAAGCUUUGAAAGGUGUGGCAAGAAAAAUUGUUAAUGAGUGUAAGGGAUUGCCCAUUGCAAUUGUGACAGUGGGAAGCACGCUAAAGGAUAAAACUAUUGCAAAUUUUGAGUUAGCAUUGUCAAGGCUAGAAAAUUCUAAGCCACUAGAUAUUCCAAAAGGCUUAACAAGUCCUUAUGUUUGUCUUGAAUUAAGUUACAAUAAUUUGACAAACCCAUUAGCUCAAUCCUUAUUAUUGUCAUGUUCUAUGUUUCCAGAGGAUUAUGAAAUAGAUUUGGAAGAUUUGUUUCGAUUUGGAAUGAGAUUUGACAUAAUUGGGACGUUUGGAACGAUGGAGAACGCAAGGAGAGAGAUGGAUGCAGCUAUUGACAUGCUCAAGAAUUGUUUUUUGUUAAUGCAUGCAAAAGAAAAACAAAGGGUAAAAAUGCACGAUUUGGUUCGUGAUGUAGCGUUGUGGAUUGCGUCUAAAAGCGGUAAAGCAAUUUUCACAGGUACUGAAGUGGACCCAAGAGCUUUGGCAGAUGAUGAAUCCCUGAAAGAUAAGAAAGCAAUAGCCGUAUGGGGUUUGAAAAGUUAUGAUGUUCUCAAUUAUAAAAUAAACCGUCCAAUACUUGAAACUCUCUUGCUUUCUUUUAAUGUGAGUGGUGGCGUAAAAGUAUCAGAUGGGUGUCUUCAAAGCUUGGAAAACCUUAAAACCUUAGCAAUCUUAAAAUCUCGGUGGAAGAGCGAUGCAUUGUCUUUGCAAGAGUCAUUGAAGUCAUUAAAAAACCUUCGAACACUAUGCUUGAGGGGUUUUGAUUUAGGUGACAUAUCUUUUGUGGAAAUCUUACAAGCACUUGAGAUUCUUGACUUACGUGACUCUUAUUUUGAUGAUUUGCCUAUUGGGAUUGUAGAAUUAAAGAAGUUGAGGCUUUUGGAUUUGUACGAAUGUUGGAUGACGAAAAAUGAAAAUGUUGAAGUUUACAAAGUUGUGGGAAAAUGUUUGCAGCUUGAGGAAUUGUAUUUUCGUUUGAGUUAUAAUUAUAAAAAGGACUUUCCAUAUGAUGUCUCUUUCUCCAGAUUACAAAGAUAUGUUAUAGAAAUUGGUGAUAAUCGACGUACUCUUGAUGAUAUUACUAAGCUUAUGAAAAAAUAUGGACAACCUAGAAGUUUAAUAAUGAAUGGGUUUGAUGUUGCUCCUCAAAGUUUUAUAUCAUUACCAAUCAAGGAUCUAUUUAUAAGAGCAGAGUUCCUUUGUUUGAGGUACCAGAGAAAUUAUAAAAAUAUAAUCCCAUCCAUGGAUCCACAAGGCAUGAAUCAAUUGAUUGCCCUGAGACUCUAUCAUGCUUCAGGUAUAGAAUGUCUCGUUGAUAACACUGAAAAGGAUAAAACUGAAGUAAUUGCAUUCUCCGGGCUUGUUUACUUAAGUUUGGUAUACAAUUAUAGCCUUCGAGAGGUGUUUCGUGAUCCCUCUUCGCGAUGUUCUCUCAAAAAUUUACAAGAGCUCGAGAUAAAAAAUUGUGGAAGUUUAUAUAGCAUAUCCUUUCCAAGGAAUUCAAAACUAUGCAAUCUAAAGGUCAUUUCAAUAUCAGAUUGCUACAUGCUAAUUUCUCUUUUCACGUCAUCCGUUGUUCAAACUCUAGAGCUGUUAGAGGAUCUAAGAAUAUCUAAAUGCAGAUCAUUGAGACACAUAAUUGAAGAAGAGAAUGAUGUUCUUUCAAGCACUCAAAGUCAUUCUUCUUUGACGCUCCCAAAAUUAAGAUUUCUUUUCAUUGAAUAUUGUGACAAUUUGGAGUAUGUGUUCUCUGUGUUUUUAGUCCAAGGGCUUUUAAGUUUGGAAAGUGUGGAUAUUAUGCGCAACCGAGCGUUGAAGUAUGUAUUUGGCAAUGAAAAGGAGCAUAAUGUUGCAGGGUACCCAAGUUUCCAGCAGACUAAUACCAUAACAAAUUUGUUUAAUUUGAAUACUUUGACAUUUAGUGAUUUGCCAAAUCUAAUUGCCAUUUGGCCUGAAUAUUUUCGUGCUCAUCUCCCAAGUCUUAAUGAUUUAUCUUGUCGUUAUUGUCCAAAAUUGUCCAUACAUAAGGCGAUGAAUGCUUCAGAUAUCCAGCAACAGACAACUCCAACGGUAAUAUAUUAAUUAUUAUUAUUUCAUUAAAUUGAUUUAAAAUAGUGAGUUUUAAACAUAAAUUAACCUUUUUAAUAUAUGUGAUUAGAAUCGGUACAAUUUCUCGAGUGAUGUUGUUUAAAUACAUUAAGCAUAACAAUCAUAUCGUAGUAGUUUUUCUUUAUCAUUACUUUUAUUCUUAUCAAGAUUAUAAUUUACUUUCUUAUUAUGUUUGAGUUGAAAAAUAUAUUUAUAAAUUAAAUUAAUUAUAAUUAUUUGAAAUGGAUAAUCAUUUAUGUGUUCCAAUAAACAAGUAUUUAUCUAUUUGGUGAAAAAAAAAUUUAUGAGUUGUAUUCAGAUCCACUGAUAAAUAAAUUAUGUUGAGAUGAGUGAUAAAGUUUAAAGUAUUAACAGUGAAUUGUGUUGUGUAUACAGGAGAAUGGAAUACUAUGGUUGAUUACCAACACACUCAACCGAUUGGAGGAUGAUCCAUUGUCUCACCCCCAACUCAAAGCUGUCCUCAAAAUUAUAAGACUUCAUUUGAAGGAUGUUAGAAUGAAAGGUAUCUUCCAAUUCCAAAUGGGAGAAGAAGGGGGCACUACAGAACUGCUUCCCCUAAACUUGGAUAUUAAUUAUCUAAUAUUGGAGAAUCUACCUGAGCUCAACUUCAUAUGGAAAGGUCCCACAAGUUUUCUAAGCCUCCAAAACCUUCACCUAAUUUAUGUGGAUGGAUGUCCAAAAUUGAAAACCAUCUUCUCCACCACAGUUGUUACAAGUUUACCAAUGCUGAAAUAUCUGAAUAUAAGAAACUGUGAUGAAUUGGAACAAAUAUUUGAUUUAGGUGAUGCAUAUCAACUCAAUAGCCCAUAUUCUUCCCAACAAGUCUGCUUCCCAACUCUCUCAAGUAUUACAGUUCAAAAGUGCAAUAAGUUGAAAUGUCUAUUUUAUAAUCUCUCGGCUUGUCAUUUUACUAGUCUGAGAAGAUUGAAAAUACAAGAGUGCUCUCAGUUACACAAGGCUUUUGCAUUUAGUGAAGAAGAAGAGAUGGGUAAGGAUGGAGAACAAGUACUGUUACAGAAAUUGAAAAAUAUAAGACUCAUAAAUUUGCCAAACUUGGAAGAGAUUCACCAGGGAUUUAAGUUGAAAGAAGAUGUUGAACAAACAUUAGAGGAAUGUCCUAAGUAUUCUCCAAGUUUAUAUCUACAUCAAGGUAAAAUUCACAUGCCUUUUUUCUAAACACAAUUACAAUGUCCUUGCUUAUUAAAUGAAAUAUUAUUUAAUAAACAUACUUAAUACAAAUAAUCUUGUUUUCUCUGCUCCUUUCUAUUUUUAAUUUUUACCGUAACUCUUGUAAUUUUCAUGUAUAUUGGACAAAUUCCUUUUAGCCACAACUGAUGGGUGACAUGUUUGGUAAUUUGUUUACACAUAUUAAAUAUGUAUUUUUUGUUUAUCAGAUAUGUAAAUAGAAUGCUACAGCAUAGUCUUGAUUUGAAAAAGAAAGGAGUGAUAUGGACAAUGCAACUGAUACGCUGCAACAAAUUGGUCAGGUAACAUUUUAUUGCUAAUUUGCAAUAGAAUUGUGGUGAUAUUUCGGCCUAUUUAACUCAGUAAUAUAAGAGGUAGUACUGCUUGAAUCAGUGUUGAAAAAAUAUGCAAGUUUUCAUCAUAUUUAAAAUUAAUACCAACAAACUCCACUACUCAUUUUUUUCAAAUAAUAUAAUGACCUUUCUGUCAUCUUGCUUUAUUUUCCAAAUCUCAAAAACUACACUACAAAAGUAAUGAAACUCUUGAAUUUCAGGUGACACGUGAGACAUAUUAAAGCUUAAAUCAAAUGUUACAGUCAUUCUGGAAACAGGUAUCUACAGUACUAUGUAUAAACAAUUCCUGGAGGGAAGCAGAGUGUAGUGACGAAUUGGGUGUGGGGAUAAUGUUGAAAUCUGUACAUAAAUAAUCAAUAAUACAAAGACAGAAAGACAGUUGUUCUGCUACCAUACACAUUGCCGAAUCUUGUUAUAUAUUUAUCUUUGUGUUUAUUAUGAGAUGUCUAAGUCUUAUAUCUUGUAUCGUUAAUAUGAUAUGUUCAGUGAUGUAUUUAAGUGUUUGAUUCUUCCCUCUUUUCAAUAGUUUUUUGAGUGUGAUUAUCCAAAUAUUUAGAUAUUUACUUCAAUUUUUAUGUAAGAACCAUGGAAGUCAAGAACUUGAAAUCCUGAUUGACUAAAAUACAUGUGAUUAGUACUUCAAAAGUACGUGCAAUGCAGCAUCAUAAACCAAUCUCUAUCACUGUUAUAAAAUUAAUUCAUUAUAACUUACAAGCCAAUCCUCUGUCAAUCUAUCAUACAACGAGCAGCACAAAAAGAAUAAAUGAAAAUUAGUAAAUUGGUUUCAUUGUCCAGUUCACAAGGUACAUUUUUCAACUUCUAUCUUGGUUUGAUGGUUGGUAUGCUUCCACUGACAAGGUCACUACCUGAAACAUCUCCUGAAAUAAAAGGAGUCUUUAUAAUAGAUGAUGAUGCUUGUGAACUGAAUAUUGUACCAGAAGAAUCACUUGUAACAUAUUCAGCUCCUUUGUUAUCUGAAUCAGAUAACAUAGAACAGAUGUAUUCAAGCUCUCUAGCCACUUCUGCCAUUUUAGGUCUCUCAUCUGGUGAAUCUUUGCAACACUUUAAGGCUAAAGUCAAAAAUCUCUCUGCAUACUCAGAUGGGUAAGACUCAAUACGUUUAUCAACCACUCGAGAUAUUCCACCAGAUUGGUAUGUCAUAUUAACCUUAAAUAAAAAAGCAAUAAACGAAAAGAUUAAGGUCAUUCUAAGAUAAACUUCUUAAUAAUCAUUUAUAUGGAGAAGGAAAUAAGAAGGUGAAACAAAUUAAUCUUCUCUUUAUAGAUAGAGUUAGUUUAUGCAGAGGUUAAAACAGGUUGACUCAGUUGACCAUUUUUUCAAUUGUCAAGAGGAGAAACCAUAACAUACCUGUCUAAUAAUAUUUUCACCAUGAAAGAUUGGUGGCCUCGCAGUCAAAAGUUCCAGAAAUACAACACCCAAACUAUAAACAUCACUUUUAUCGGUCAAAUUACGAGUUAAGAAGUACUCUGGAUCAAGAUAACCCUGCACUUUCAGAACAAUGUACAAACAGAAGAUUAAAUCAUUGAACGGAUAAAUUCAACCUAAACCAAUAUAUAAAAAUAAUUCCAUUGAAUUAGUUAGACAUGUUAGAAAUUCUACCUCGAUUAUAGAUAAGUUCAAUUCACAAUAUACAAGUAAGUACAAACUUCACUUGGUUUUGUAAGAUUGAGUUAAACUUAAAGUCCAUUCGUGAUAAACAUGUUAUCAAAGUAUACCUCACCAUGAGGGAUAUUGAAAAUCCCACCUCGAAUAGAGAUAAGACUAGUUUAUAAUACAUAAGAUGGAUCCAUUUCUUAACAAACACCUCUUUGUGUUUUGGAUUCGAAAAUCCAAAAGCCAAACUUUUUUUUUAAUUAUAUCUAGAUGUACACUGCAAAUUACAGUAUACAAAACAUAAACAUGACUGCCAGCAAUUAUUUUCUGCGCAUAAAUGUCUUAAUAGUUACUAAAACAAAUGCUCAAUUAUAGUGAAAGAAAAUGCAGUUAUGAAAGUCAUACCGGGGUCCCCUUUACUACUGUGGAUACAUAACCAGGUACGUUUCCUUCAAUAUCUGGAACUGGAGCAAGACGUGAAAGUCCAAAAUCAGCAACUUUUGCUGUGUACCUAGAGUCCAACAGUAUAUUGCUGGCCUUCACGUCUCGGUGGAAUAUAGGAGGAUUAGCUUCUGUGUGCAGAUAUAGAAGACCUUUUGCUGAUCCUAGAGCAAUCUUUAACCUCAGAGAAAAGCUAAGAACAUCUUUUGAAUGAGCUGCCAUAAAACGUUAGCUACAUAGUUAAGACAUAGAAAGGCAUCUUUUUAAUUAAAUUAAAAGUAUUAUUAUAACUUUAGUCUCUUUGUACUUGAAAUCAAAUUGGAACCAGAAAGAACAAGAAAAACUUAUACGAGAAAAACAGAAAACUAGAUGAUCAAAGUUUGAAUAUACCAGAAAGGUGAUCCCUUAGAGUUCCAUUUGGCAUAUAUUCAUAAACCAACAUCUGAAAGCACAAAUACAAUAAACAAACAGAACAAAUGAACUAAUCAGAAUAGGAAAUAAGAUUUAAGAGGAAAAUAGAACCAAAAUGUUUUGAAAGGAGACUAGGCAAAAGAAUAUGAAUUUGGAUUACCUAAGUUUCCUACCUAUAAUUCAUCGAAACUUUCUAUUAAAGAUUCCAAAUUAACUAGAGGUAAGAUUAUUUUACAGUGCAUAAGUGAGGAUAUUCCUUAUGUUACAAAUUGGUUUUGUAAGGAUGAGUUGGUUAAAACUCACUUACUAAAAUGUCUGAGAGUCUAAGCACUUACAAAUAUUUAGUUCAUGCAUGGCAUAUACAUGCAUUGACAUGAAAAGAGGUGUGUUGGAGAUCUUAAAUCCAUUAGAGAUAAGGCUAAUUCACAUUUCAUCACAUUGGCUGAAAUUUAUUGAAAAUUACCGGAUUUUGUAAAUUCUAUUUAGCAUUUAAUGAUGAUUUUUCUACUUUCAAUAAUUGUAACCAGUAUGUCAGCGUGUGAUUAAAACUCCUUGUAAUUUUAAUAUCAGUUUUAGUCAACAUCCUACUUUAGUACAAACCACAUUCUAGUGGAAACAAAUCAAUAAACAUGAGACAGUAUAACAGGACUCGUGAAAAAUAAAACUUCUAUAAAAGUUAUUUUUGAGUUUACAUUUUUGAACUGUGAAACAAAAGUUACCUGUUCACCCUCUUCGUCACAGUAUCCAAUGAGAGACACAAGGUUGCGAUGGUGUAGCCUUGACAGCAAUUCUAUUUCUGUGAAGAACUCCCUCUCACCUUGUAGUGAACCCUCCUGUGCACGUUUUAUGGCAACAACUGUGCCAUCAGGAAGACGUCCUUUAUAAACCUUCCCAUAGCCUCCUUCUCCAAUUUGAGCAGACUGGUUAAAAUUGUUUGUGGCCAAGGCCAUUUCUUUGUAAUCAAAUGAUCUUACACCUUCAACUCUCAUCGAUAUCCUAGAUGCUGUCAAAUUUUAGAAGCCUAUGUUUAAGAUAUAUACAAUCAACUCCUUCUUCAUGAUAAAAGAAAUUAGCUUUUUAAUAUAGUUAUGCCAAAAUAAAACAUAUGAAACAACAUCUAGACAUCAGAUUAUGCAAGAGCCAAAGCCUUGAAGACAUUUCUAAGGGAAAGAAAUAAUAGGCUAACUCAUUAUAAGGUACUCACCGUUACGCCGUCUGGAAAGUGCACGAUAAUCUCUCAUGCGUACUCUCAAAAUAAGAAUGGAAACAAUUGCAGAUAAUGUAACUGCACAGGCAAUUGCACCUAAGAUUAUUCCAACCAGUGCACCUUUGCUUAUCCCUGAACUUGAAGAGGGAGUAAUCGCUGCAUAAUAAGGAGUAUAUGAGUUCAAGUGAUCAACCAUAAAACAGUUUUCAGUAUCAUAUUCCAUAUAUUGCAUCAACCUUGAACAUAAUUUCAAAGUACUCAUUUGACACGUGAAGUAUGAACUAUACUAUAAAAAGGCUGAUUUAUUAAUAGAAUCUAGAGAACCACUAGGUAUGUUUGGAUAAGCUUCUUUAUAAACAACUUUAGUAGAGAAAAAAUAUGAAGAAAUAAUGAAUUGGGUUUCUCAAUCAACUAAAAUUAGCUCAUGCAUAAGCUAAUAUAUAAAAACUCAUUCAUCUAGCUAAUAUGUAGAUCUCUCUAAAAAAAUUUAACUUGUCCAUAAACUAAAGUUUUCUUGUUAACAUUGUCCAUGUACUUCUAAACACUCUAUCAUGUCAUCAGAAGUUUCUGUAACUCACCUUCCUUGUAAAUAUCCAGUAGAACGAAGUCCAAGAGUUCAUAAGGACCAAACAGGUCACUAUCCUGAAUAUCCCAUUCUCUGAACAUGUCUCUAAUUCGAACAACCUCAUUUGUACUGAACUGACGAGAACUUGUAUUGUCAAUAUAUUCUGGAAANNNNNNNNNNNNNNNNNNNNNNNNNNNNNNNNNNNNNNNNNNNNNNNNNNNNNNNNNNNNNNNNNNNNNNNNNNNNNNNNNNNNNNNNNNNNNNNNNNNNNNNNNNNNNNNNNNNNNNNNNNNNNNNNNNNNNNNNNNNNNNNNNNNNNNNNNNNNNNNNNNNNNNNNNNNNNNNNNNNNNNNNNNNNNNNNNNNNNNNNNNNNNNNNNNNNNNNNNNNNNNNNNNNNNNNNNNNNNNNNNNNNNNNNNNNNNNNNNNNNNNNNNNNNNNNNNNNNNNNNNNNNNNNNNNNNNNNNNNNNNNNNNNNNNNNNNNNNNNNNNNNNNNNNNNNNNNNNNNNNNNNNNNNNNNNNNNNNNNNNNNNNNNNNNNNNNNNNNNNNNNNNNNNNNNNNNNNNNNNNNNNNNNNNNNNNNNNNNNNNNNNNNNNNNNNNNNNNNNNNNNNNNNNNNNNNNNNNNNNNNNNNNNNNNNNNNNNNNNNNUUACAUGAGUGUGACAUUUGAAGGAAGAUUUGUAGUGCCUGAUAUGCUUGUAAGUUGAUUAUGCUGCAUGUUCCUGCAACAGAGCAAAUCAAAAAAAGAAAAAUCAAAAUAAAAGCUAACAAAACACUUGUUAGGAUACAGGAUGCCUUGGGAAUAUACAGACAUCUGCAUGUUCUUACAAAUGGCAUCACCCAAUGAAGAAGAAAAAUAAAGGACACAUAAAUUCAUGCUCCACGAUAUAAAUCUACAAGAGCAAAAUUGCGCAAUUAUCAUUUCGUGUCUUACAAGAUAAGUUGCUCUGUUGCAUUCAAAGUCCUGUUCUGCCAAAUGGUAGAAGGAACAGUGCCACUGAUUGCAUUGUUGGCAAUUGACCUGUCAUAGGGAAAGAUACGUCUUGACAAACCGUUGAUUUUAUAGCAGUGUUUCAUAUAUGUAUGUGUUGAAAUACAUUACGGUUUGAUGUAGAAGAAGAAAGGGUGAAACAAAAGACAAACUUACAAUUUCUGAAGACGUGGAAGACCAGAAAAGUAGGAUGGAAUUGUUCCAUUGAGCUUGUUGUUUGAUAAGUCACUGCACAAGUCCUCGUAGUAAGACAAUAAUAUAUCAUAUGCAAUCCAUGUAAUUGUAUUUAGACUAUUUUCUCCAACCAGUUAACAUGAGGAAAAUAUCCCUAAGGGGAAAUCCAAAUCAACUAAUCCAUGACUGAUAGAUUUGUAAGCAAUAGAAGUUCUUACAUAGUUGUCAUAUUGUCUGAUAGCUUAUUGGUUGGAAUUGACUCAUUCAACAGAUUGAAACUGAGGUCACUGGAACAUACAGAAAUAGAAAUCAGUUGAAACAGUUACCAACUCUUGGACGGAUUUUUAAACAUAUGCAUUGUCUAACUUUAGAUAAAACCCAAUAAAGCCAAUGCAUAAACUAAUUUGAAAGAAAAUGAAAUAACUAAACUUACAGGUAAGCAAGGUGUGGUAUCCUGCUGAAAUCAGGAACUGGUCCUGUCAAGUUGCAGUUCCUAAGGCUUCUGAUAAAGCCAAGAAAACACCAGUAAGAACAUAUGGACCAUCAACCUUACACUUCGAUCAUUUCUCCCCAUAGAACUAAAUAUUUUGUUUGAGACAUGAAAUUUUGUUAAGCAUAACUUUGAUCAUUCAAUGUUAGUGCAGUAUCCUCCAAAUAAAGAAAAAGGAAAUAGAGAAAACCAUAAUAUUUUUCCAAAACAAUUUGGACAUUAGGUUAAUGCAACAGUAUCAGACUAAUUGUUGAAAGUCCCACAUCGACUAGAGAUAAGGUCAAAUUAUAAUAUAUAUGUGGGGUCAAACCUCACCUUACAAGCCGGUCUUGUGGAGUUGAGUUAGGCUUAAACCCACUUUCUAAUAUGGUAUCAAAGUUAUGGUUAGAGUCUAUCUUAGUAUUCACAAUACAUUAAAAUAAAGGCUUCCGCAGCUGCACUCCUUGUAAUGGUAACGUACAUGUAAACACAAAAUGCACUUACAAUUUCAACAAUUUUGGCAUGUUGGCAUAAGAUUCUGGUAUGCUACUUCCAUCGAAGUUAUUGUUAUCGAGUUGACUGCAAUAACAAGAAGAUCCAAAAUGUUACUUCAAAUAUUUAUUUAUUUGUAAGACGUGUUUAUUGAUUCAAGUUCAGCUAACAUUGUAGAAACAAAAACUUUAAAAAAACCAGAGGGUCUAACAAUACAAUGACAGAAAUGUUAACGUUCCAACAUAAUGUUCUUAGGUUUUUAAUAUUCAACUUUAGAUUUUCCCUUCUUGCAUUUCCGAUUUGUAAUGAUAGGUUGGCAUCACUUCACAGUGUAUGAGCAUGCUACUCCAUCUUAUUUAUUUAACAAAGACUCAGUAAAACAGUUCUUCCUGAGUUAAUGCACAGCUCUGUGAAAUAACUAAAGGCUAAAUAGUUUGAAGAUGGCAAGGGGGUAUUAUAGCAUAAAUUUGUUGAAAUUUUUCCAAAGGCAAGCAUAUCUAAGGAAAAAUUUAAAAAUAAAAUGAGUUCGAAUGGUACCCUUAUUUGAAAUAUGAGUAUAAGUAAUAUACUGUAGAACCUAACGAGCUAAUAGGUAAUGUAAUUACAUAAGGAAUAAUCCUUGAUGUCAGUUUUUAACUUGGCAAAGUGGAGAGAUAGGGGCCACAAUUCUUUGCGUUUACAUUUCCCUUCACAUCUUACCAUGUAAAAUUGAAAUGAAAAGCUUAACUCAGUCAAAAUCAGACAUUUUGUCACAAAUUAUGAAAGCAUCUAACAAGAGAAUAAAAAGCAGAGAAAGAGAAGCAAGAUGUGCCUGAACAUACAUAAAGAAUAUGCACUCUAUUCAUCCAAAACAAACUGAUAACGAAAUGAACUCAAAGACAUGCACCCAAGCCUAUUUAACACAAUAAUAAAUCAUACAGUAUCAUUAAGCUUGGCAUCUCAGAGAGCUCGGAUGGGAGAUUUCCUGUCAAGUUAUUGUUGUCAAGAAGACUGCAUGUCCAAAAGAUACAUCUUGUUAACAAGAUAUGAACGUCAAAAUGAAGGAUUAAAUAAAAGCCAGAGAAAUAUGUCAGUGACUGCAAUCAUGUCACAAAUAACUUACAGGUGAAUAAGGCUUCCUAAUUUUGAAAGCUGUGCUGGGAUUUGUCCACUAAGUGAAUUGUUGUUCAUGUGGCUGCUCCAUUGGGAAAAUAAGAAGGCAUUAUUUCCUUUCAGUUUUCUUGCUAAGAAAGUAGCAAGAGUGAUAGUUUUUAAAACUUUAGUAAUAAUCGUAAAGAAUGUUACAAGUGUUGUGUGCUGUUCAGGUUUGCAAAUGAUAGUGGUAUAGGUCCUGUAAUAUUGUUCUCAUCAAUUUGCAUUCUCUCCAGCACUGGAAGAUGGCCAAGCUCUUCAGGCAGAUCAUCUGUUAGUUUAUUUCCACUCAGUAGUCUGCAAAAACUUUAUUUGAUAAGAAAGCAAGAAGAAAUAUUGCAACUCUUUGUGUCAAAAUACCAGCAGUUUACUUAUGCAACCAAUUAAAUUCAAUUUUAGUUCUAUAGAAACAAGUGUUUGACUUCAAAUUCCUAUGAAAAACCACUCAUUUUAUUCAAAGAUGUGUUUGGUCAUGCACUAAUAUGUAUUAAUGACAAGGAAAUCAAAUCAAGACUGCUAAAUUAUUCAACCAUGGUCCUGCAUGCUGGCCAAGAUAGAUCACUGCACUUACAAGAGUUUCAAAGUUUUGAUAUUGCCAAUCUCCUUCGGUAUACUCCCAGUUAUGUCAUUCCACAUAAAGUCCCUUUCAAGAAUGAAAAUUCAAACCAUUACUAGAGGAAGUAAUUGCAAGCUGCUACAGAAUGGAAAUAUUUAAAUGAAUCUAUAUAUUUUACAAAAGUUGAAGCUAGAAAUUUCAAAACUGAAGAGUGUUCAUAUGUGACCGGUUUGCAUUAGAAACAUCAAUGCAGCUACUGCCUUACACUAUUUCCAAAUAAGACAAGUUGCCGAUCUCUGGUGCCAAAGUUCCAGACAGGUUCAAAUUCAGCAGUUGCCUACACACAAAAAUAAACAGUCCUCAAACGAAUGUGUCAAUAGUAGUAGCAAAAGUUGUUCCAAGUGAUGUGUCAAAAGUUAAUCAAGAAAAUAUAAUCUGAAUUCUGAAGCUUACAUGUGUAUACUACUUGACACUGUACUAUUAUGCAGAGCAUUAAAUUAUUAGUAUUGGUUCUAGAAAUAAAAGAUAAGUAAUGAAAAGAUAGAAAGGUGUUAGGUUCCUUUGUUCAAGGAACCGAACAGCAGCUUCCAGUUCUCACACACACACUCAACAAUAAUCAAACAGUAAGCAAAGAUAAAGGAAUANNNNNNNNNNNNNNNNNNNNNNNNNNNNNNNNNNNNNNNNNNNNNNNNNNNNNNNNNNNNNNNNNNNNNNNNNNNNNNNNGAAUAUGUAUGAAUGUGUAAUUCUAUUUCCUCUGUAAUGUAUAGAAAAGGAAAUACAAGUAUCACUAUCUUUCCCCCUAGGAAGCCUCCCUUCCUCCACUGGCCAAGAGGUCCAGUCUCAAUACCCAAAAUAAUAUCUGAUACCCUCUCUCCCUAAUCUGUUUGUUAUUUAUAUUCCCUCUCUCUCUUCUAACAACUUAACCACCUUCUCCCGCUACUUAUUUCAUCCCUUUUUUACCCCUUCUCAUGUAAACCUUUAAUUGCCUAACAUUACCCGCCCCCUCAUCAUCAACCUUGUCCUCAAGGUUGAAGUUAGGAAAUUGUUGUUUGAUGUAGUGCUCCUCCUCCCAAGUAGCACCUUCAAUAUCACUCUCCUGCCACUGUNUAAGAACUUGGGGUAUCUCCUGCCCCUGACUCUGCUGGUUCCUGCGUUGUAACACCUUCACNGGGGUGUAUCGAGGGUUAUCAUCCUGCAAUUCGGUUGGGAGGGUGCCUUCAACUGGGUGUGUUCCAACCGCUAACUUCAACUGGGACACAUGGAAAAUAGGAUGUAUUUUUGCUGUUUCUGGAAGCUGUAGCUUGAAGGCUACUGGGCCUAUUUGCUGUUCCACGCAGAAAGGACCAUAAUAUCGUGCAGAUAGCUUUGGAUGGAGNCGUGUAGGCAUAGAUGUUUGCCUAUGAGGACGGAUUUUCAGAAAUACCCAAUCUCCUACCUGGAUUUUGGCCUCCCCUCUCUUCUUAUUGGCAUAAUGUGUCAUCUGUGCUUGGGCCCUGGUCAGAUGAUAUCUCAGCUGUUGUAAAGCCUCAUCACGGGUCUGUAAGUCUUGGGCUACCGCUUCUACCACUGUUUCCCCUGGAAUGAAACGUGUCAAUGUAGGAGGAAGUCUGCCAUAAACAGUUUCAAAGGGUGUGCACUUCGAUGCCCCUUGAUAACUGGUAUUAUACCAGUAUUCUCACCAAACUCCAGCUUUUUGGCUGUUCUGAGCUAAAACAGCGUAAGUAUGUUUCUAGCACCCUGUUUAAAACUUUUGUUUGUCCAUCAGUCUCUGGAUGGUAUGCGGUACUCAUCCUAAGCUGUGUGCCCUGUAAUUUAAAAAUUUCCUGCCAAAAAUUGCUCAAAAAUGUGGAAUCCCUGUCACUUACAAUGGUCAUAGGUAUACCAUGUAAUCUAAUCACCUCCUUCACAAACACUGCAGCUAUAGACCUGGCAGUAUACGGAUGUUUAAUGGGAAUGAAAUGCCCAUAUUUACUGAGUCUGUCCACCACCACAAGUAUAGUGUCAAAGCCUUGUGAUUUAGGUAACUUCACCACAAAAUCCAUACUUAUGUCCUCCCAUACUGCUUGAGGAAUGGGUAAAGGUUGCAAGAGACCUUUGGGGGAGGAUGCCAAGUACUUAUGUUGUUGACAUACUAGGCAUGCAGCCACAUAGUCGGUGANUGUUUUCUUCAUUCCUGGCCAAUACAGGGAUUGUGCCACCCUUCUAUAGGUUCUAUAGACUCCAGAAUGUCCUCCUGUGACCGUGUUAUGGAACUCUCUUAAUAAUUUUGGUAUCCAGAAAGAUUGUGCUGACAAAACCAAGCGCCCUUUAUAAUGUAAUCUCCCCUGUUCCAGAGUAUAUGCCGGAUGUGAAUUCGGAUCUACCCUUAUAUCUUCCAUCACUUUCCUUAGAGUUUCAUCCUUCUCAACCUCUUCCAUAAUUUCCUGGAAGUUUGACCAAUAGGGCCUGGAUAUCAUGUGUAGUACCUUUUCUUCCUCCAAUUCCUCCCCUUUCCUUGAAAGCCCAUCCGNCACCUUAUUAGAUGCCCNAGUUCUAUAAACAAUAUCAAAUUCGUAUCCCAGUAAUUUAGCCNGCCAGUUCUGCUGGUUUUGAGUAGUGAUACGCUGCUCCAACAAAUAUCUCAAGCUCCUCUGGUCAGUAUAAACAACAAACCGUUGGCCUAAAAGGUAGGGUCGCCAGUGUUGGAUGGCUAACACCAAAGCCAUAAGUUCUUUCUCGUAAACAGAUUUGGUGAGCGACACUUCUGAAAGAGCUUUGCUAAAAUAGGCAAUCGGUUUUCUGUUUUGAGACAGAACAGCUCCUAAACCAGUGCCAGACGCAUCACACUCCACNUGGAAGGUUUGAGCAAAAUCUGGUAANGCUAAUACUGGAGCCGUGGUUACUGCUGUUUUGAGUUUUUGCAUUGCCUCUGCCCCUGCAGGGGACCAAACAAACUGCCCCUUUUUAAGCAGAUUGGUGAGAGGUUGAGCAAUCUUCCCAUAAUCUCUGAUGAAUCUCCGAUAGUAUCCAGUCAGCCCUAAGAAUCCUUGCAGCUCUUUAAUACUCUUGGGCUCGGGCCAUGCCGUCACCGCAGAAAUCUUCUCCUCAUCCAUCUCAACUCCUGCUUUUGAAAUUUUAUGCCCCAAAUAACGAAUUUGCUCUCUCCCAAAUUCGCAUUUGUUUUUCUUAGCAACACGCACCUCCUUAAAAACGGCCUUAGGACAGAAUUCAUCAUAUCUUGGAACGUGGCAGGGGCGUUUGUAAGCCCAAAAGGCAUCACGAGAAAUUCAUAGUGUCCCUGAUGCGUUCUAAACGCUGUCUUCGGAAUAUCUUCAGUUUUCAUCCUGAUUUGAUGAUACCCANCCCGUAAAUCAAUCUUAGAAAAAUACCUUGCCNCUUGAAGCUCAUCCAGCAGUUCCUCUAUAACCGGUAUUGGGUAUUUAUCCGGCACUGUGACUCUAUUAAGUGCCCUGUAAUCUACACAAAAUCUCCAGCUCCCGUCUUUUUUUUUCACUAAUAUUACUGGGCUUGAAUAUGGACUGUUGCUGGGACGAAUCAUUUUUUCAACUUGUCUCUCUAUCUCUGUUUUCAUGAGGUGUGGGUAGCGGUAUGGCCUGACACUUAUGGGCUCUGUUCCUUCAUUCAAGGGUAUUCGGUGAUCAACUUUCCUCUCAGGUGGCAGUCCUUGAGGUUCUCGAAAUACUCCUUCGAAAUCUGACAAAAUCUGCUUCAGCCCUACUUCUUGAGUCGGUGUCCAUUUCUCUGUUUCGCCAUCUACCUCCACCGCUUCAGCUUGACUUAAGCUCCACACGAGAGUCAUAGCUUCUAUCUCCUUUUCUUUUAAAAGAUCUUUGGGUGUCACCAUCCGGCAUGUUAAAGUGGGAUCUCCUUUGAUCUCCACUAAUUUUCCUUCAACCUCCACCUUCAUAAUUAGCUGUCCCCAAUCCACUUUAAUUUCUNNUAGGGAAGCUAACCAAGUGAUUCCUAGAAUCACAUCCACACCGCCUAACUCAAAGAGAUAUAGUUUAUCUCUAACUUCCAACCCAUCUAACUUCACAGUAACCCCUGUGCAAUACCCACUGGUUAUUUUCUUUUGCCCAUCACCUAAACACACUUUAUAGGGAUGAGUGUCAGUGCUUUCCAGACCCAAUUCUCCCACCAAUUUGGUGGAUAUAAAGCUAUGACUAGCUCCGCUGUCUACUAACACCAGAAUUCUCCUCCCCUUCACAUCCAUCCUUGCAUUUUCAUGGUAUUCGAUUGGGUGAGACCUCCAGACAAUCCCGACAGUUCCAUCGCCGUGUGUUCCAUCACCGUGUGUUCUAUCACAGGGGCCUCCAUUUCAAUCUUCUCUUCGACUCCUUCUUCAUCUUCUUCUGCCAAAAUCAUCACUCUCAUAUCCUUUCAGCACACCGAUGGCCCGGGCUGUAUGGGCCUCCACACUGGAAACAACGCCCUUCUUCACGCCUUUUUAUAUAUUCGGGGUAAGGCAACAUUCUUACUCCUCUUCCUUGAGUAUUCCCUCCUCCGCUACUACCUGCUCGGGAAGUUACAUUGCUGGAAACACCUUCCUUCUUCGUUCCCGAUCCACCUCCGACCCCGCCGACGUUCAUUGAUCCCUCCGCCCCUCGAUAGGUCUCCGUCCUCACGACAGUACCCGAGCUCGAGGAGUACCUUCCCCCGUCGCGUGCUCGCUCCAUUGCCGUCAACAAAUCGCGUGGGUCAUGCGGCCUCACCAGAUUUCUCAAUCCUUCUUGCAGCCCAGCGAAGAAGUAUCCCAAAAGUUGUUCCUCAUUCACUCCCGCUGCUUGCGCCACCAAGACUUCAAACACUUGUAUAUAUUCAUCGACAUUUCUCCUUUGUCGUACGGCGGCCAAUUUUUCGUAAACGGAGCCCCUGCUUAAGCCUCCAAACCUCCGUGUUAGAGCGGCAGUGAACGUGUUCCAAGUUGGGUGUCUGGUCUUCUUCCGCCAAAAGCGGAACCAAUAACUAGCUCCUCCCUCCAUACAAAUGUAUANGAGCUUCAUUUUCUCUUUCUCCGUAACGUUCUGGAUAUCAAAAAAUUUCUCGGCCUUCGCUAUCCAGCCCAUAGGAUCUGUUCCUUCGAACGUUGGAAGUUCAACACGUUUCAUCCAACUUCGUUGCACAUCUCCUCCGUCCUCUUCCGAUUCGUCCUCCGAACUCACUCGUCGUUCACGGUCAGCAUUCACGGAAUCGCGACUCCCUGUGGAACUCCGAUCAUGAUUCCUGGAAUGUCUUCCUGAGGUUCGUUGAAAAGCGAGAGUCAUCGCCCGCAUCUCCGCCUUCAAUUCCUCCAUUGUCGCCUCCAUCGCCCCCAUUCGUCCCUCCAUGCUUCUUCGUUAACCCCUCCUUCUUCUCUCCUCCGAAACUGAUCCGGCAGGUCGGACCAAAUCUGGUAGAUUCCUUUUGUUCAAGGAACCGAACAGCAGCUUCUAGUUCUCACACACACUCAACAAUAAUCAAACAGUAAGUAAAGAUAAAAGAAUAUGUAUGAAUGUGUAAUUCUAUUUCCUCUGUAAUGUAUAGAAAAGGAAAUACAUGUAUCACUAUCUUUCCCCUAGGAAGCCUCCCUUCCUCCACUGGCCAAGAGAUCCAGUCUCAAUACCCAAAAUAAUAUCUGAUACCCUCUCUCCCUAAUCUGUUUCUUAUUUAUAUUCUCUCUCUCUUCUAACAACUUAACCACCUUCUCCCGCUACUUAUUUCAUUCCUUUUUUACCCCUUCUCAUGUAAACCUUUAAUUGCCUAACAAAAGGUAGUUAAACAGAAAUUUUGCUUUGGCUUCAAGAUAUAUGAAUUUGUCAAAAUAUAGAAAGUUUCAUCAUACAGCAUUGUGAACUUACAGCUAAUAGCCAUUGUUGUAGAAUGUUCAACUUUUUUAAUCUAAACAGUUUCUGAUUAAUAAAGUUUGGACUCAACAACUAUUGUGACUCUAUACGAAACGGAGCGUAUCAAAAGGAGAAAAGUUAAUAAAACAUUGACCAAAAAAAGGAAGGUUAUACAUAUGUUAACAUGGCUAUUACAAAAACAAAGGAUAAGUGGAAGAUCAAAGUCAUACAAUUGUAGAACAUGUAGAUUGCCAUCGGCUAAUGUUGUGUUGGAGCACAUAACCCCUGUCCAGUUGGAUGUACAUGGAUCUCCACGAUCCCAGUUGCUCAAAUUUCCAUUAAUAUCAAUCAAACUUCUCUUUAUGGUUCUCAGUGCCUCAACUGCAUGUUAAAGUAAAUGAAACAACCAUACUGUCAAGAGGGCAAAAUGAAAACAACAUUGACAUUAUAAACAUAUUAUUUUUUAAAUAUGUGAAAAGAAACUAUAGCAGCAUAAUAUUAUUUGACUAAAACACCCAUAUUUACAUAAAGGAUCAAUUACUCUUGACAGUUUCAGCUGUCAUCUACUAGCUCAUUUCUAGAGGGCAUUAUUGGGAAAGUUAUCAAUAUUUUCCUUAUAUUCUAAGUGGAAAAUAAUUUGAGAGAGAAAUAUUCCAAGCACAACAAAUAAAAUGAGAUGAAGGGAGUAUCAUUUUACUAUACACAGAUACAAUAUUUCCAUUUAUUGAUAAUAGCUUCAUGGGUAAUAUUUUACAUUAUAACAAAGAAUAUAUUGAUAAAAACCCAUUUGAUCCACAGAAAGAGGAGGAAAUAUUUGGUGAUAUAUGAAAUUGGAUAUAAGAGAAAGUGUUCCCGGACAGAACAACUGAUUCCUACUACCACAUUCAGAAUCAUAAAUGCAAACCAUGGAAUACAAACAAAAGACAAAAGGGAAGGGAAUAUACCUUCUGUGGGGUCAGUGACCUGACUAGCAGCCAAUAGGAAAUAGCAGCAAAACCACAAACAGAGAACAACUUCACACCUACAACCCUUUGAAAGAUACAUCCCAGAAACCCAGAAAACACAAAGCCUCUAGAUUGUCUCUCCUGAACUGAACAGGGUUUUGCUUUCCUUUCCCUACCAGCAACAACACUAGUCAGAAACAUUCAUUUUCGUGAACUUAAAAACCAACACUCCAUAUAUUCUUCUAAAUCAAAAACCCAGAUAGCUAUCAAAUCAAAGUAGAAUACCCUCUUCAAAAGCAACCUCUUGCAUGCAUAUCCAAGUGAAAAAAAAUCCCAGAAAGCUAGAAAACCUUAUAAGAAUACCCUUUUCACUGAAAGCUUAGAACAAGAAAAUAAUGAACCGCACUUGCGGGAACAACAGAGUAGAGCCUAUCCCAGAAAAGGAUUGUAUAUAUAAUUAACCUGCAAGCAAAUAUUAUAUAAGAGAAGCAACACGUGGACUACAACUUUAUAUGUCAUUAUAACAAAGAAGAUUAACAUUGAAAACUGAGUACACAGGUGAAUGCAAACUUCUGACCAGGUCUCCAAUGCAACGUGGAAUUGCAGGUGUAGUUUAGGAGUGGUGACGAAGGCCAUCACUUUCGUUACUGUAGCUAAUUUAAUUUUCAACGUAGGUGCAUGCGUAAAUAUCAACUAAAGUAAUUAAAAAGAGGGAGAGAACUUUUCAUAGUGGAGUUGGUCAUUCUUAGCUUGUGGAACCAAACACAAGAGAUUCAUGUUAUAUAAUUAAUCACAUUUAUUUAUGUAGCUCGUGGUGUUGACUUUCUGGAAUCAUAUAUAAGAGCGGGUUAAUUAUAUAGAAUUGGUCCUUUCGUAUUAUUUUCAAGAGGUGUUGGUAUGAAGUUACCAAGAUAUUUUUAUCCUUGACGGCUGAAUUGGACAAGAAAGAGACAACUACUUACAUGUGUGCUUGAAUGUUCCAAUUUCAAAGAUCAAAGGAAAAUUUUAAAAAUCUAAAAAAAAUCUUUAGGAAUAAUAACAUUUUUUUAUGAAUACGAAAAUAAAAGUUAGUAUAACUAAUAUUUGAAACAUGUUAUAGUAAAUAAAAUUUGAAAAUACCUUAAAAAUGACAAAAAUAAUAGUAAUUUAAAAAUAAUAAGGCUUGAUAAUUUUAAUAUUAAAAAAUUAACAAUACUGUUAUUAAGUUUUAUUAUUUUAAAAUAUAUCAUUUCUUUUUAAGACGAGAUUUUUAAGUUUAUCAUAUCAGUUUUUCCAACAAAGUAAAGUAAUUUCUAUUAUUAUUUUAUGUUGUUUUAGUUGUUAAUAAGGAAUUUGUAGGACAAUGCUAACUUGUAAUCUUAUAAGACAUAUUUAGUAGUGAAUAGUUUUGGAAAAGUCAGAUUGAUCGAUUUAAAUUCAUAAAAAAUCUCAAAAUUUUGAUACAAUGUUAGGCAUCCCCUGCAGUUCAUACAAACGAUUAAAAAAAAAGGUUGCAUAUUAGCUUGAAGAUGAAAAGAGUGAAUUUGAACGAAUAAGAAGUUCAAGAAAAAUUGAUAUAUUGGUAAUAUUACCUAGAAUUAAAACAAUAUUACCUAGAAUUAAAAAGGAUAAUAUAUUGGUAAUAUUUGCUUUAAAAAUAUUUUCAUUAUGAGCUAGGAAUAUUAUUAUGUCUUCUUCGGUUUAAAAAGAAAAAAAAAUGAGCGUUGCUUGAAGAAUUUUAUAAAAUAUUAUAUAAUAUAGUUCAAAAUAAAUAUCCUUUUAUAUUUAUAUAUUCAAAUCACAUGUACAGAAGUUGAUUACAUGUAUAAGCAAACACAGAAGGCAAUCAUGCACCUAAAAACAGGUGUCCCAUUUCCUUUUCAUCGUAUUAAAAAUUAUUUGAAGCAAAUUCAACUUUGAGUUGAUAAAUAUAUAUAAAAAGAACAACGGUCAACUAAUUUUCUACAUAGAUACAGGUUGACUUUAUCAAAUUCCAUAUAUUCAAGUAAAGUUUGACAAAUUUGGAUGUGUUUAGAUACAAUUGGAUACAAUUUUAUUUUUCACAUUAUGUUAAUAUAUCUAACAUUUUUAACUAAAAUGUAUAACAAAUUACUUUUUUCAAUUUUAAUUCUUUUUAACUAUUAUUCAAAUACAUAAUCAUUAAACUAUUGGGUGAUUUCAUAAUCAUUCAAGCUAUCCAAUCUUGAGAAAAGUCUAAAAUCAAUAUUUAAAUUGAAAGAGAAGUCUAUUUUUACCAUAAUUAAGUUGUCAAAUUUGAAUAAGUUGAUGGGUAGAAUGGAGAUCGAAUUUACCACAAUUUUUUUUAAACUUUUAAAAUUUAGUUUUUGAAAAUACUUUUUGUACUGGGACAUACCGGACGGACGGUUUUCAGGCAACGACAAGAUCGUAAGGCCAUGACGGAUAGGUUACCAAACGUGAUUAAGGUAAAAUGAGAUUAAGGAUUAUUGGGUUGCAAUUGGACCCUAAUUAAAGCUUCCUGAUAACAAUAAUUCUUAUCAUUAUCUGUGAUAUAAUUUUAUUACCAAAUCAACUCUCUUGAAGCUUGAAACAUGCUUAAACCUCUCUUUUAUCUAACUUUUUGAAUAGGUUUAGCAUAGGUUACACAGACAAGUUUUCAUCAUUAAUUCUCAAGUUUUGUAGGAAAUUUGAGUGCUUUGGAAGAGCAUCCAAACUAUCAAGAAUGAGAGUCCAGGAAGAGCUACAAGAGCAAGCAGAUCUGCAGAAAAAGAGAAAAAGAUACAGUAUAGAAAAAUCAGGCCCGGGCCCCCCAAAAAGAGGCUGGGGUGCACAGAAGGGGGUUGGGCGCCCCAGAAGAGGGUUGGGCACCCCAGAAGGGGGCUGGGUGCCCUUUCAUGUUGUUUCACCUCAAAAUAUGGCGCCUAGGCGCCUUUGAUGUUGUGCUUUCGUUUAAUUUUGGUGCCCAGGCGCCCCAGAAAAGGGGGUUGGGCGUGAUUUUUUGCUGACUUAGCACCCUAGACCUAUAAAAGGCUCACAUGCAACGAGGGUGCCAUCUUCUUGGUAGCUGAAGCUCGAAAACACCACUUUUGGACCUGUGGGAGCUGAUUUUGGACAGUGGGAACUCUUAUUUCUUCUUCCUUGGGUCUCCAUCUUCUCCAUUUCUCUUCCAUUGUAAGCUCAAGCUCUCCAUGACUAUGGAGAGCUAAGUUCUUUUUGUUGGGGAAUGAUGUAAACUAUGAAACUCACUUGCAAAUGCACUUGUUUUGAAUGCAUAUAUGCUUCUUUCAUUACUUGCUAGUGUUUAUGUUCUUUGCUUAAAGCUUGUUGUGACUUGAUCAACCAUAACAUGAUUUUAGGGUUUGCUUAAUGUUGGGAAAUGUUGGGUGAACCUUGAACUAGAUUAAACACCUAAGGAAAAUUGUGCCUAAGGAUAGAGCUUGGACCCUUAGUUGUCUUAAACUUCUUUUCUUAAUGAAGAUGAACUUGUUAGGUUGUCAAGGGAUUGGGAUUUAAUAAGUGAAUCUAGGCUCCCUCACCAAGGGAUUGGGUUUGAGUAACUUAGUAAGUUGACAAGAGCAAUUAAAUGAAGAAGAAGUAGUUAUGUGCAUUUGCAUAGGAGUGUAAUAGUUGAAAUCAUUCUCCAAAUCUACAUUCCAUAUCAUCUCUAAUCACUUCAUUUCUCUUAGCGUUUUAACCCCAAGAAGUUCAAUCUUUUACUUAUGCAAUAUGUUUAAUUUCAUUAAACCAAUUCACAUUAAAGGGAAUCAUUCUUUAGUCUAAGUUAGUUAGAUAAUUAUACGAUUGUAAAGUGUUAACCAGUCUAUUGGGAUACGAUAUUCAGUCUUGCCGGUUUAUUACUUAAAAAGAUCUGGUACGCUUGUCAAUGAGUUAACACUUCCCUAAUCCAAGACUCAUAACCAACACUAUAAAUACAAGUGAAAGGUAAGAGGUAGGCAGGUUUAUUAAUUGCGCAUUUAAUACAACUCUCAUAUUACCGAACGGACAGUUAUUGACUUUAGCAUCGGAGAACAUUUGGCAGGUACCCUCCCGAACGACACUUGGACUGAGGAAACGGCAAAGUGAGAAGAGAACGAGAAACCGACCGAUCUGAGGAGAUUAGGACUGAAAGGAGGAAACAGACAUAAAAGAGACCGACUGGAAAGAAAUUGUGUAAGAGUUAGGUGAGUCGACCUCAUAAAAAACAUUUUUAAAUCAGGCUAAAUAAUUAGGAAUGAUAAUACAUAUUGUCAUGUUCCAUUGAUGGAUGUAUCUCGUAUAAAAAAUGUAGACAAAUAUUUUUUACUCGCUCUGUAUAACAUAUAAUUUGCAUAUAAUUAGACUCUCAUAAAGAUUAUUUAUUUCUUAAUUUUGUUAUUUUGGAUUAAGUAUAAUGCAUUGCAAAAAGAAAAACAUUAUUUAAAUAUAACUAAUAAAAGAUUCGUUUAAAUCAAAAUAACAAUUAUAUUUUUUAAUCUUAGAAUUCUUCAAUUUUGGCUAUUAAGAACUCUUUUAUUAACUUAUGAGUAUUAUUAAUUAUAAUGAUUAAAUUUAUGCAUUUAUGUGAAUGUUUAAUUAAUAACCUUAUACUUAUACAUAUCUAAUUAUUUUAAAUCACCAUGUUUCAUCAUAUAGAGUAUUUAUCUUCCUAUUUAAUAUUAAAAAUAUAUUUUUUUGUAAUUUAAUUGUGUGUAGACUAUAAAUAUAGAUCGUACCUCACCGUUGGUUUAAACGAACUACGAAUUCUGCAAGAUAAACUAAAAUGAAUCAAUCGACUCAAAAAAAUCAACUCGCCUUGCGAGCAUGCGGGUUAGCCCUCGUAAUACGCCCUACAUUAUCAUUCUAUAAAUAAUACUAUAUUUUUCUUAUUUUAAAAUAGACGUUUAAUUUUAUUUUUAAAUAAAAUAAUAUUAUACUAUUUUUAACUUUUAAAUCCAUAUUUAGCUCUAUUGUAUUUUUUUAAUCAAUAAUACUCAUCUUUUUAAACUUUUAGUAAAAUAACACUCGUCUCUUAUAUUUUAUUUAGAAAUGUUAUAUCCAGUCAAACUCAAAUAAAAGUUUAUAAAAAUUAAAAACUAAACAUUACAAUCAUAAAAGUUAAGUAUUUUAAAAAAUAAUAUGAAGAAAAAAUUUAUUUGAGCAUAAAAAUAAAUUAAUAUUUAUAAAAACAUAUAAUUAAAUUUAUUAACUUUUUAUUAUGUUUAUAUAUUGAUUAAAAAUAUAAAUAUAACUGAAAUAAAGUUUAUAUAUAUAUAGCAUAUUUUAAAAUCAGCGUGUGAUGUGUUUUUUUUAGAACUACCUUCUCUUAGCGUUUUAGGUAAAAAACUAAUUUUGCUUGUGAUAUUAUAAUUUUUUGCUUAUUUUUAAAAUGUAUAUAUUUUAAAUCUUCAUUUUUUUAUUUACGUGUUAGUUAUUAUUUUAUUUUGAAAAUUAUAUAUAAUUGUCAUCUUAUUAAAAAUAUAAUUAAGAUAAAUGUUAAUUGUUAAAAACAUAAAGAAAGUUAUUUUAAAACUAAAAAAGUAAUAAGGUUUUAUUUGGCAUGACAUAAUGAUAUAAGUAUAAUUUUUAUAAUAAUAUUAUUAUCUUUUAUAUGUUAGCAAAGCAAGAUGAAUGAUGAUUUUAAUUGUGCAUCGCUUUUUAAAGAUGAAAUUAUUUUUAUCUUGAUAUAGUCGUCUAUAUGUUUUUUGUGAUUAGAUAUUUUAAGGAAUUUAAUGAAAAUUCAGUGUAUAGGUUGUUUGAACUAAUUCAGUGUAAAUAAAAAUUAAUGGAAUGAAUAUAAAAAUCUUUAUAAGUUAUUGUGUUUUAUUUUUAUUUUAUUUUUCAAUUUUUAAUAUUAGUACCACCCACUGCUCCAUUCGAUUUCUUCUCUUAUCCACAAUUUUAGAUAAAGUUUUUCUUUGAACUUUUAAAACAUACUUUUCAAACAAUUCACUCUAUCUUAAUUAUGGUUUAAGUCUUUAUUUUAUUUUAUAUUCUCUCUUUCUACAAUUUAGUGUUUGACCAAUUACAUACCAAUUUGAAUUGUUUCAACAAAAUUGUAUGCUAACUAAAUAAGUAAAUCUUCGUGAUAACAUCCAAUUCAAACCAAGGAUAAAUUAUUUUCUUUUUCUUUAGUGAGAUGAUAAGUUUUAAAAACAAGUUAAGUUACACAUCACACAUGCCAUAAACUCAAACAGCAUAUUACAACACAAGUGUUAAAUGAUAAUUCCGUUCAACAAAAGUGGUUUGAUUUUUCAAAGAGUCAAACAAUUAUAGAUUUUACCGACAACUAAGAUUACUCAUUUCAUUUAUCUUAAAGACAAAUUCCGAUUAUUUUUAUAAAGCUAUCAUCUUAUUCCAAAUUUAUUUCUUAUUUUUUAUUCACUCAUCACUAUAAUUAUUGUAUGUCAUUAUGGUCACCAUCAUUUACGUAAAUACAAAACAUGUGUUUAUGAGACAAUAUAUGUAUAUGGGUCAUGCCUUCACUUCCACAAUUUCUUCACGCACCCCUCAAAAUUUUGAAAUUAUAAUUUUGGAAAAAGAAAGUUUUAUAAAAUUAACUUCCAAAUUAUAUAUUCUGAAAAUUUUCCAAACAACAUUUUGGAAACAAAAAUUCUGAAAAAACAUAUUUGAAACGAAAUUUCUAGGAAAUAAUUUUUGAAAUCAAAUUUUCAAAAGCAUAUGAAAUAUAUUUUGGAACAAAUUUUCUAGAAUGAAAUUUUUGUAAACGAAACUUAUAAAAUGGCUUUCAAAAUAAGCAUUUUCAAAUAUUUAUACAUAAAUUUUUUUUUAGAAAGAUUAUUUUUUUUUGGAAUACAUUAAAUAUAUUCUGAAAAAGACUUUUAGAAAUAAAUUCUUUCGGAACACAUGAAAUAUGUAUUUUUUUUAUUCUUCUUCCUCCACCACAGUUGUGUGGUGCGGUGGUGACAAUGGUGGAAGCCUGUAAACGUGGUGGUGUGAUGUGGUGCACUGAUCAACCCUUUUUCCUAAUAUUGUGGGUGCAGUUAGUAAUUGUGGGGUGGAGGAAGUAAUAACUAUCGGUCAUAUCUCAACAAGCCGACAACCCAAAUCGGAAUAGAAUGUUAUUUAGGAAUUUUAACAAUUAGAGACUAAUUCGUGCAGAAAAAAUCAGACUACCCAUUUCGAAUUGAAGUGCGUAUACUUUUAAAAAUAACAUGAAAAUUCUCUUUUUCAGUUUUUAAAUUAAUAAGUAUUUUAGUUUAUUAUUUUUACCUUUUAGUUGUGAUUGUAAAAUUGGGAAAUAAUUUUAGUGAAUACAAUGUUUAAUACAAAUUCCUUUCAUAAAAUCCCUAACAUCUACGCGGGAACACUUUGCAAAGUAGCUCUUUAUUUAAGUCGGCAUGAAACCUAACAUCUACGGUAGCAUUUAUUUUAAAUAUGUUUCAUGACAGCUUAACACAUUUUUUCACAUACCUCAAAUAUUAAAAUGUUCAUUUUUUUCUGUUAAUUAUAGUAUAGACUAAUAGAAAGUAAGAUAAAUAGAUUCGUGGAUGGGGUGAAAUUUGGACGAAUAAAUUAGUUAUUUUGGAUUUCUUAAAUAAAGGAAAGAAAAAAAAAGUUUAGUUGGAUAAGAGGCACCACAAAGAUAUCCCAAUCGAAAGUGCAUUGUCAAUCUCUGUCCAACUUGCUUAGAAAAAAAACGAAGGGCCCAAUUAAGUUUCCGAAAGCAACCUUGUAUGAGAAAAAAAAGACAAAAAUUCGUGGUCUCCACCUUGGAAGGUAAGUAACGGAUAAGCCUAACGGAGCUCACCUUAUAAAUACUUAGGUGUUCCUCCUCAUUAUUUUUAUUCAUUUUAAAAAUAUUUUACAUCUCUUCACUAUUUUCUUUUAUUUCAAAAAUAUUUUACACUUUUUCAUUAUCUUCAACAAUCUUUUCUUUUCUCUCUCUACGUUAAUGAAGUAUUCACAUAACUCAUAUUUGAAUUUGUGAUAUAUUACAAAAUAUAAAAUUCAGAAGAAACUUCAAUAUUAGUGUUUCUACUAUUUCCAUUUUGUAAAAUUAAUUAAAAGUUAGAUGCAAAUAAAAAAUAAUAAACAUAAUAAUAUUAAUAGUAAAUAAUGAUAUAUUAUGAUUAUUAUAUACUAACUUUAUAAUGACUAAAUAACUAAAUAAAUUUUAAAUCUUUAACAAAUAAUUUUUUUUUAUAUUUUAAGUAUUUAAUAAUAUUUUUAUAUUAUUAAUCUAAUAAAUUAAAUACUUUAUUUAAGUUAUUUGAGACAUAUAAGUUAAAACAUAAUAUAGUGUUAAAAAUUAUAGAUAUCAUAUGUAAAAAAAAUAAACACACAUAUAUAUAAAAAAAUUUCUAGAAAUUUAGAACAAAAUUUUACCAUUUAUUAAGUAAUUUGAAGAGAAAAAAAUAUAUUCAACAGUAAAAAUAAGAUUGAAUCAAACUUAUUUAAGAAAAUAUAUCACAAGUUGAAAUCUGAGUGAUGCAAAUGCUCCAUUAAUAAGCCAUGUAAAUGUUCCAUUAAUGAAGAGAGGGAGAAAGAGAAAAAUUGUUAAGGAUAGUGGAGAAGUAUAAGAUAUUUUUGGAAUAAAAUAAAAUAGUGGAAAGAUAUAAAAUAUUUUUGAAAUAAAUUAAAAUAAUGGAAGUGCAGGACCAGGACCACUUGAGGAAGUGGAGGGAGCAACACCUUAAAUACUUUUCUUCAAUUAAACUCGGUUAUAGUAUACAUUUCAAUAUACAAACUUAUUUGCAAAUAAGUUUGCAUUUUAAAAUAAAUUUUCUAAUAUUUUUUAUAUUAUAAUAUAAUAUAUUAUUUUGUUUUAUACAUAUGAUUCUUGAAAUGAAAUUCUUAAUAAGAAACUUUGAGGGACAAAUUUUUUUAAGACAGGGUAAUCUACUCAUUACGGUAUUGUUAGGUCAAGAAAUAACAUAGUUAGCAAGACAAACUUGAUAAUGGAUUUUGACCACUACUCAUAAAAUAACAUAUGUGAAUAUUUUACUCUAACUUUAAUCCAGACUCAAUUUCUAGUAAACUUUAAUAUAUCUAUAAGUUAGCAUUAAUUUAGACAAAUUCAAUAUUAUCAAUUAUAUAUAUAUUGUUUCGGAUAGGAACGAGAUAACAGUUGAUCACUGUGGUUCUUCUCUUCACUUCAGAAUUCUCUUCGUAGCAACCUUAAAACCGAAUAGUGGGUACCUGCAGGUUAGCACUCCAACGCUCAAGUCAGCAAAGUUACUAUGAUAAUGAUAUUCAGAAAGUCAAUNCCCCCUUUACCUGAGCUAUGUUUGUUCUAUUUAUAGAGAAAUAUACCCACCAUACUAGGAGCCACGUUGGGCCAAGUCGUGUGCUCCGUGAUUUCCUCCAACGACUCAGCUUCUUAGUUGUAACCGCAGCCGUAACCGCUUCCCACUUCCUAGAUUCUUGCUCCGCCAUUUGCUCCGCUAAAUCCGCGAACUAUCUCCACUAACUUAGCAAUCAUUAUAGUUCCCUUUCGGUGUAACCCUUACCCUGAUCUUCCCUGCAUAUUUCCCGAUCCACCAGGCCUCUCUAACCUUUCUCCUGCCACAUUAUACAAGUCAAUCAGUUAUCCCAUAUGACCGUGUCUUUCCCUAUCGGUAUAAGUUCCCUCCCGAUCUUCUUCUUCGUAACCCCGAUCGACUUGAAUCCUCUCUAUACUACAUAAGCCCCCCAAGCCCUUAGCGAUGAUAAGAGUGUAAGGGUUUCUUCUUGUUGAAGAGAUAUGAGGGAUGAAUGGUUUUAACUCUCGAAAAGACGUUUCAUCUUCAACCGUAGGAUGGGGAAUGAGGGAUGGCUGAGAUUAAGCCAUGACAUCAUCACUAUGAACGUGAACAGGCACAAAAUCUUAACCGUCAGAUUUAAAGGGAAUAAACGGUAGAGAUGAGGACGCGAAACCGUUUAUUUCGGCUAUAAAUAGGGGGGAGGGUCCACUGUCAUUUUCACUCCGCAUAGUUCUUUCGCUCUUGAAUACCGAACGAGUUAUUGAAAUUGUCGAUCUUCGUCCGAAACAAGGUAAUGUCUUCCUCUUCUUCAUCAACUGAGGAGUCUGGUGAUGACCGUCCGGGGGGUACUGAUCGUAGGGUUACAUCGUCGUCAAAGUCAUCUUCUAGUAAUUCCAGUGAUUCUAGUAGCUCGUCCGGUCACUUUUAUGUGGAAUUCAAUAUUGACGAUUCCCGGACCUGGACAUCUAUUGUAGCACCACCCAGGGUAGAAGGGUAUGAAUGGGCUCCCCAUGAGGUACAAACCUAUCUUCCUUAUUAUAUUCGUAGAGCUACCAUAAGACAUCUAUUGCAAAAGGCAUAUAUCAUGUCUGACUUUAGGGAGGUUGAUGAUUAUACGCUAGUAGUAUGCCGUUCAAAUGAGAGAGCAUGUCACGGUCGGGAAGGGUAUGGUUUAGAUUUUUUCUAUGUAUAUAUAACAUUGUUCAAAGAUCUAGGUGUAAGACUUCCCUUUACUGAAUUUCAAAUGGGAGUACUAAAAUACUUGAAUAUAUGCCCUGCCCAACUUCACCCCAACGGGUGGGCUUGCAUGCAAGCCUUCCAGGUAUUAUGCACCGGUCUGCAGUUUGACCCCACCCCUAAGUCUUUCUUGUAUUUCUUCCGAGUUUUUCCUAACUCUAGUAGGUCUUGGGUUUCCCUCCUUCCGGCCAAAAAUAAACAGUUAUUCACUUCUUUUAACUCUUCAUACAAAGACUUUAAAGCUAAUUAUUGUAAAAUAGCUAUUCGGGAACCCGGUCGGCCAAAAUACUUUCUGAACAAUGGUGAACCAAAAUUUCCUUUGUAUUGGACCGAAGAGCCCACCCGGUUAGAAUCGUGGCCGACAACAGAUAUGACUGAGGAUAAGUUGAAGAUUGUUAAUAAGAUCGAUCAGUUACCCCGCAAGACGUCAUCCCGCAUGUUGACAAAACUUCUUGGCACCGAUGAGUUACAAAAUACAGUGUUAGGUACGUCUUGCCUCCGACUGUUUACCGAUCGUCCGUCAUUAUUGACUUGCCUAAAUUAACCCUUUAUUUGCAGAACUAUUUGAAGGAAUGGAUCAGCAUGCUGCCUUUGCUCGAUUGAUGGCUCAGAAGAAGCUGAAGAAAAUUGCUGAGAGUUCCUCGUCCCCUGCGUCACCAGCCAAACCUACUCCUAUAGUUAAUCCAGCUUUGAAAAUAACUGAUUCGGUAGACGAUGUGGUUGAGACUAAGACUGCCAAGCCCCAUGCUACAAGGGGCAAACCUAAAAGAAAAGCAGAGAAAACACCUUCCCCACCCAAAAAACAAAAAGUGAGCCCGCCGCUGCUGACCGGGCCAUUAGACCCGAACGUUCACGUAUCUGAUCGGUUGCAAUUCAACCUCACACCAGAGGAAAGGAAGCCGUUCCAGGACAUGACACCUAGUGAAUCUAUCAACAUGGCGUACGAGUUGAUAGCUCGAGCGAGCAUUUGUUUGAAUUAUUCUGCUGGAACAACCAAACCUUUGUUGGUGAAUGAGCUGGAAAUGGCCAUGAAUGAGUUGGCAGAUUUCAAGAAGAAGAACAUUGCUUUAACUCUACGUGUUGAGGAAUUGAUUAAAGCAGCCGAGGAUGAUCGGGCGAAAGCGACGGAUCAACUAAAGGAGUCGCAGAAAGAAGUAGCCAGUCUUAAAGCUUCCAUAAACACCCUGAACAACAGUGUUCAAGAGCUAACCAACAAAAUCAACAACUUGACUAAGGAGCGAGACGACCUGAUCAUUGAGCGAGAUAAUUUGGCUGCGGAAACUGCCCAGUUGGGGGAUCAAGUGUGCUUGGAAAGGGAAUUAGGAUUUGAGCAAGGAAUUGCUCAAUGUCACCAUUUCUUCAACACCCCUUUGACCGAUCCAAGUUUCGACAUCAUGAAGGUGGUCGUUGAUGGGAAGUUGAUUGAUCUGGGCAGUCAAGUCGCGACAAAUACUGAAAGCAUAGAAACAGUGGUAGACGGUCAGGUGUCUACUGCUACCGAUCUGGCAUCCAAGACUGUCGAUCCUGCUGACAAAAGUUGAAUAAUAAUUUGGAAUAGUAGUUAUAUAGGAAUGUUAGUGUCUUUUUUGAACAACUAUUAUUAUAUUUGUUAUGUUAAAUGUUGUAUGAACACUUUUAGUAGUAUCUUCGUAAUAUGUUGCUAUUUGAGUAGUUGAUAACUUCCUUAUUCCCCAUGAAAAUACAAUGGUCUUCGUUAUCCUUCGAAAAAUGUUAAGAGUAUCGUUCACGAUCGGAUAGUUAAUUGUAUUCAUCUCGAUAGGUAUUUCUUAAAUACAGAAAUACGAAUAAAGCAUAGCAAGAUGAACAAUUUGAUUAAAAAGGUAGUAAACUCUUUAUCCCUUCUCACCCGAUAGGUAUCACCUUAUUCGCCGAUAUUAAUAGCAACAUAAGAAAAUGAUUAACUUAAUCAAAAAGAUAAUAAGCUCUUUACUCCCCUUACCCGAUAGGUAUCACCUUAUUCACCAAUAAUAGUAACAACAUAUAAGAAUGAGUAACUCAAUCAAAAAGAUAGUAAGCUCCUUAUUCCCCUUACCCGAUAAGUAUCACAUUAUUCACCAAUAAUAAUAACAACAUGUGAGAAUGAGAAACUUGAUUGAAAGGAUAGCACCGAACGGAUUACAAAUGUAACGUAUGAAUUUAUUCAUAAAAUAUUGCAAAUAGCAUGGACAGGUGAGUGCAUAGGACCACCUUGCCUUAUUUUCCAUAACAGGAAGAGUUGUGAAUUAACUAAAGUAAAACUUCAGAUGAGACGCGUUCCAGGUGUUCGGUAUACUGUCGCCUGUUAAGUAUUCCAAACGAUAAGCUCCAUUGUUCAAGUCUUCUUUUACCCUGAACGGUCCAUCCCAAUUCGCUACUAGUUUCCCUUUAGUAGGAGCUUUCCUUGCAUAUGCUGUCUUACGCCACAUCAGAUUCCCUUCUACGAACCGUCGAGGUUUGACCUUAGUAUUAUACCUUCGGGCUACCAACCUCUUGUAUGCUUCGUUUUUGACAGCCGCUACAUGACGCCGUUCGUCUAUCACAUCCAAAUUGCUUCUGAGUUCUUCGUUAUUGAUUGUCAUAUCCGACAGUUGUCGUCUUACAGUUGGUUCCCCAACCUCUACAGGUAGCAUGGCGUAUGUUCCAUAGGUCAGAUUGAACGGCGACUCUCCCGUUGAACCAUGUGGUGAACAACGAUAACCCCACAAAACAUGAUCGAUCUCAUCUACCCACCCUCCUUUAGCUUCUCCCAAGCGUUUCUUCAACUCAUUAACUAUGAUUUUAUUUGCUGCUUCGGCCUGACCAUUCGUUUGGGGAUGUUCCACCGAACUUGUGAUGCUUGUGAUGCCUAACUCCUUAUAAAAGCUUUGUAACCGUUUGUCAAUGAAUUGCCUUCCAUUGUCUGUUAUUAUCGUCUUUGGUAGGCCAAAUCUGCAUAUGAGACGCCAUAUAAACCGUUUAACCUGUGCGGUGGAAAUUCUGGCCAGUGGUUCAGCCUCGACCCAUUUGGUGAAAUAGUCUACAGCAACUAGGAGGAACUUCUUUUGAGAUCGACCGAGCGGGAAUGGUCCCACUAUAUCCAUACCCCACUGGGCGAACGGCCAAGGGGCGAAUAUGUUGUGCAAUUCUGACGCUGGGGCGUGAAAAACAUUGUCGUGCUUUUGGCAUGAUACACAUUUUUGUGAAAAGGAUAAAAAAUCCUGUUCUAAUGUAGGCCAAAAGAAUCCAGCCCUCAGAACACGUGCUUUCAAUGCUCGCCCCCUUGUAUGCCUGCCACAUAUGCCAUGAUGCAGUUCAUGCAAGACGUAACUUGCUUCUUCCAUAGAUAGACAUUUCAUGAUCGGGGUGACAUACCCUCUUCGGUAUAAAUCGUCCCCGAUCAAACAAUAUCGGGAAAUUUUCUUUGUUUCUUCAGCCUGCAGAUUAUGCCCUUCGUCCUGUCGUCGUAUGAGUCAGACAAUUUCAUCCUUCCAACAAGUCUGCUUGCUCGAAUUGGUAGGAGAAGAAAUAGCAUAACAUCCUAUAGUCGGUUCGGAUAAUACCUGUCGGAUGACUGAAUUUAAAACCCCUUUUUCUUUUCCAUUGGCCAACUUGGAUAACCGGUCGGCACAAGUGUUCUGCUCUCGUGGCACAUGGGUGAUUGUGAAUUCACCAAAACGUGUUUGUAAUUGAUUCGCUCUAUGAAAAUAGCGCAGUAAAUAAUCGUCUUUGACCUGGUAACUACCGUUCAUGUGUCCCUCUACUAAUUGUGAAUCAGUAUAACAUGCCAAACUGUCUGCGCCAAUGUCCCGAGCGAGUUCCAUUCCGGCAAUCAAUGCCUCGUAUUCAGCCUGAUUGUUGCUUGCCUUGAACUUAAAGAUGAUAGAUUGUUCAACAAUCAUAUCGUUCGGUCCUACCAACACGAUUCCCGCUCCUCCUCCAACUUUGCAUGCAGAUCCGUCCACAUAAAGUUUCCAGGCAUGCGUAGAUAUUGUAUAUGGUAGUUCCACUGCAAAUUCGGCUAAGUGUUGUCCCUUCACCAAGCCUCUAGGUUCAUAUUGCAACCCAAAUUCGGACAGCUCAACGGACCACCCUAUCAUCCUCCCAGCUAAAUCUGGCUUGCGUAAGAUUUUAGCUAUUGGAUAGUCUGUUCGGACUAUCACUUGGUAUCCUUGGAAAUAAGGCCGAAGACGCCGAGCGACAUAUAAAAGAGAUAAGGCUACCUUCUCUAAUUUUUGAUACCGAACUUCUGUGUCUUUUAGACUUCGACUAACAAAGUAAAUCAACUUGAACUGAGGUUCUUCUUGGAUCAGGGCUGCACUAAUGGCAACAUCAGUCACUACCAAGAAGAUGUGCAACGCAUGACCGGGAUCAGGUCUUCCCAUGACAGGUGGGACGGUCAGGAUUUCCUUAACUCCCUUGAAUGCUUCUUCACACUCCUCAUUCCAUCCUUCGGGGGUGUUUUUUCUCAUGAGUUUCAAAAUAGGUUUAAUCUUCUCGGCUAAUUUCGGGAUGAAUCGCGAUAAAGAUGUCAGCCGACCAACUAGGCGCUGUAUUUCUUUUAAACUGUUCGGGCUUCGCAUUUCCAGAAUGGCCUUGCAUUUAUCGGGAUUCGCUUCUAUUCCCCUAUCAGUCAGCAUGAACCCCAAAAACCGACCUGCGUUAACCCCGAACGUGCAUUUAGCGGUAUUUAAUCUCAUCCCAUAUUUUCUGACUUGUCCCAGUACCUCCUCUAGAUCUUUGAUGUGAUCUUCCAAAGAAUGGCUGCGUAUAACCAUAUCAUCGACGUAUACCUCCAUACAACGUCUUAUCUGAUUCUCGAACACCUUAUCCAUAAGCCUCUGAUAAGUAGCUCCGACAUUCUUUAGACCGAACGGCAUUACAUUAUAGCAAUAUGUACCUCGUUCGGUGAUAAAUGCAGUUUUUUCUCUGUCGGGAGAGUGCAUCGGUAUUUGAUUAUACCCUGAAUAAGCGUCCAGAAAGCUCAGUAUUUUAUAGCCAGAUACACCAUCAACCAAACCGUUGAUGCUAGGGAGAGGAUAAGUGUCUUUGGGACAGGCUUUAUUCAGAUCGGUGAAAUCUGUACACAUCCUCCAUUUACCAUUAGACUUCUUGACCAGAACUACAUUGGCCAACCAGGUAGUAUAUUUCACUUCCCGGAUGAAUCCUGCAUCUAGUAACUUCUGUACCUCUUCGUCCACUGCUUGUCUCAUUUCAGGACCUAAUCUUCUUUUCUUUUGUGCGACCGGUCGAGCAUCACGAAAUAUUGAUAGUUUGUGAGAGAUAAUAUCAGGGUGUAUUCCCGGCAUAUCAGAUGGCACCCAUGCAAAUAGGUCCUUAUUCUUAAACAAAAUUCUGCCCACUUCCUUCGCUUGUUCUUCACUCAGACUCUUCCCGAUCGCUGUGUGCCUGUCCGGUUCAUCUCCUAAACUGAUCGGUUGGGUUUCACCCAUGGGUUCCAACCGGUCGUCAAUGUUUAAUCUUGGGUCCAAAUCGGCCACCGCUAUCACCCAUCGAUCCUCCGGUUUCGUAUGAAGUCGUUGUCUUACUUUGAGUCCAGCCGCAUAGCAUUCCCUUGCCAUUUUUUUAUUGGCACGGACGGUACACACCUUUCCCCGAUCAUCCGGAUAUUUCAAUACCAGAUGUGGUGUUGACACAAUCGCCCCAAAUGCAUUCAAGCAGGGUCGUCCUAAAAGUGCAUUGUAUGAUGUAUCCGCCUCUACCAAUAAGAAACGGAGCUGAAGCUCCUUUGCAUCCUUUUCUAAUCCCAGGCUGACUUUGAGUUCUACAUACCCCCUGGUAUCUACCCGUUCUCCCGCGAAGCCUACAAUUUGCUCAUGAAAAGGUUGAAUGGCCCCUUCUGGUAUAUCCAUCUGUUCGAAUGUUUUCCAAUAUAGGAUAUUGGCUGAGCUCCCUUGGUCAAUCAACACUUUUCCCACUUGAUACCGAGCGAUCAUAACAACUAUCACCAUCGGAUCGUCUUGAUCAGGGUCAGGGGCAUGAAAAUCAUCGUCCGAAAAGGAGAUUACAGGCAUGGAUCUCCGUUCGGCUCCUACUUGGUUUACAUGAUGUAAACUUCGUAGAUGUCUUUUUCGGGCCGAUAUCGAUGGGCCUCUUCCUGUGAAUCCACCAGAAAUGGUGUUUAUGAUGCCCCUUGUCACUCUUUCUCUACUCCGGCUUCUACUCCUACUCCGGUCGUGUCUACUCUUUGUCUUUUGAUGAUUGGUGGUGAUCGGUACUGACGUCUGAUGGCGUUGCACGAAUUUUUGUAAAUGUCCGGCCUGGAUCAAAUUUUCUAACUUAUCUUUCAAGGUAUUGCAAUCUUCGGUAGUGUGUCCUCUGUUUUGGUGGUACUUACAAUACUUGUUCUGAUUGGCUCCUAAAGGUGUAGGAGCACAGAUCACUUUUAACAAAUCGGCUCUCAAAGCUUCUUCCAUUACUCUGGCACGAGGAGCAUUGAGAGGUGUGUGAUGCACGUUCUGCAACAUCCUUGGUGGAUCUAUCCUUCUAUGCCCGAUCGGUCGUUCCUUUUUUCUUUGCGUCCCCCUACUCGGUCCUUCUCUUCUCAUCUACUCUCUCGGUUCAUUAUCAUGGCCUUUAUAGUGAGCUCUUCCUUCUUCAAUUCGGAUAAAACUUGCUAAUUUGUGCUGCAAAUUGGCCAUGCGUUGCGGUUCUUCUGCGUAUAAGUAAUCCACAAAAGGUUCAGGCCUUAAGGCGGUAGUCAAGGCACUGACUAUCAAUUUUUGAUCCACAUUUCGUACCUGUCGGGCCAUCCGAUUAAAUCUCUCCAUGAACCCUUUGAGUGUCUCUUCUCUUCCUUGCCUAAUUCUCAUCAGGGCUGUGUACGUCAUUCCAGGUGUUUUACUUGAUAUAUAUUGCUGGCUGAAUAGCCUUCUAAGAGUAGCAAAAGAGUCUAUCGUUUGGGGUGCCAACGAAUGAAACCAAUCUAGAGCCUCUCCUUUUAGGGAUAAAGAGAAGACUCUGCACCAUACCAUUUCAUCCGAAGAAUAUACUGCCAUAGCGUCGAUGAAGGAUCUGAGGUGCUUAAUAGGAUCUGUAGAACCCCCAUACCGUUCCAUUACAGGCAGCACCUUAUUUUCUGGCAUGCCCGUUCUCAUUACACACGUUGUGAAUGGAUGCAGGCCUUCUGCUUGAUCGGGUGUCUCAAUCUCUCGAUCGGCGAUGGUUGGAACCCGUUCGCCGGAUGCAUUUCGAUGGCCGUCAUUACGACCAUUGAAAUUGGCUCCACUGUUUUCACCCCCAACACCGUUUCUCUGGCCUACAUUCAGGCCAUUUUCCCCACCUCUUGGCCUAUUCUGUCUGUUUUCAUUUCCCUCCUGCUCUUCUCUAUCUCUUGCAUCUAUCCUCCUACCACCUCCUCUUUCACGUUCGCCUUGUUCAUCCACUCUCCUGGCGUUGUCAUUUCUCCUCAUCCCCUCUUCCCCAGUAGCCCGAUGACCACUCUCCUCGCUUUCGAUGUUCACUGUUUCUAGCUGAACAGGGUGAGCAGGUACCCUGUUCUGAACUCGUUCAGCCCGUAUUGCAGCGAUUUCAGCUCUCAUUUCUUGCAUUUGACGUUGCAUUUCUUGAAGUAGUUGUAGCGAAAGGUCUCCUGCCAUUGUGAUCGUAUAAAGGCUUGUAACUAUCUCGCCCCACGGUGGGCGCCAAAAUGUUUCGGAUAGGAACGAGAUAACAGUUGAUCACUGUGGUUCUUCUCUUCACUUCAGAAUUCUCUUCGUAGCAACCUUAAAACCGAACGGUGGGUACCUGCAGGUUAGCACUCCAACGCUCAAGUCAGCAAAGUUACUAUGAUAAUGAUAUUCAGAAAGUCAAUCCCCCCUUUACCUGAGCUAUNNNNNNNNNNNNNNNNNNNNNNNNNNNNNNNNNNNNNNNNNNNNNNNNNNNNNNNNNNNNNNNNNNNNNNNNNNNNNNNNNNNNNNNNNNNNNNNNNNNNNNNNNNNNNNNNNNNNNNNNNNNNNNNNNNNNNNNNNNNNNNNNNNNNNNNNNNNNNNNNNNNNNNNNNNNNNNNNNNNNNNNNNNNNNNNNNNNNNNNNNNNNNNNNNNNNNNNNNNNNNNNNNNNNNNNNNNNNNNNNNNNNNNNNNNNNNNNNNNNNNNNNNNNNNNNNNNNNNNNNNNNNNNNNNNNNNNNNNNNNNNNNNNNNNNNNNNNNNNNNNNNNNNNNNNNNNNNNNNNNNNNNNNNNNNNNNNNNNNNNNNNNNNNNNNNNNNNNNNNNNNNNNNNNNNNNNNNNNNNNNNNNNNNNNNNNNNNNNNNNNNNNNNNNNNNNNNNNNNNNNNNNNNNNNNNNNNNNNNNNNNNNNNNNNNNNNNNNNNNNNNNNNNNNNNNNNNNNNNNNNNNNNNNNNNAUAUAUAUAUAUAUAUAUAUAUAUAUAUAUAUAUAUAUAUAUUUCUCAAAAAAAAAGCUUAUUCUAAAUUAUAGAAACCCAAUUUAGUUCCCAAAAGCAACGUUGUAUAAAAGAACACAAGAAUUGGUGGUUUCAAAAGUAAAAGAGAAUAAUAAAGAAAGAAAGAAGAACUUUUGUAAUAGUGGAGAUUGCACAACCUUUCGUUCCCUUCGGUACCCACACGAUGAAUAUUGACCACGUUAUUUAUUAUAUAUCAAAUUUAAGUGAAAAAAAAAAGAGAAAAAAAGUUAACUAAUUUAAUUAAUUUGACAAGAUGUUAUUUUCUUAUAUCUGCUUAAAAUGUAAACAGCAAUGCAAUUCAAAUUGAUUUAAAUUAGUUUCAUUCUUUAUACUAAUAGAAACAUAUGCAUGCGUAUGUGAUUUUCUUUACUGUAGAUAUUUAAUUUAAAUCAAAAAUAACUUAAUUUAAAUAAUAACAUGAUAAUUUAAAAAAUAAUUAAGUCUAAAUUAAAAAUUAUUUAUAGAAUAAAAAUGAAAAUAUAAUUAUUUUAAUUUAAAAUAAUAUUUACUCAAGGAGUAAAAUUGAAAAGAAAAAAAAUGCGUACACGAAGAAGAAAAAACAUUUUUAUAUAGAUAUAGAUUCUAAAAUUUCAAUAUACAGUUUAAUUAAAUUUCUCAAAGUUCAAGUUGGAAUAUUAUAAAUAAAUAAAAACAUCUAAAGGAGAGACUUGUCAAAAGUGUUCACAUAAAUUCUUCUAACAAAAAUUAGUCACUAAAAAAAGCAAUAUAUAUUCAUUUCAAAAGGUGAUUUAACUAAAAAAAAUCCUCAAAACAACUAAAAGAAAUUCCUGUGAAAAAUAUUAGUUUCAUCGUAAUACAUCAAUGUAAAAUAUAAGUUAAUUCAUUAAAUUAAACAUAUAAAAAAUACAGAUCUAAAUUUGAAAUGAAAUGCCGAUUCUUUUAAUUUUAUUCUUUCUUAAAAAAAAUGUUAUUUUCCAAAUAUAAAUCCGUUUUGUUCGGUAUUAGUUUUUUUCUUUUAAUUUGGCAUUGAUAUAGACUGACGUGUCCAAAUUAUUUUUUUUCUUUUCAGUUUUGAAUUUGUUUUCAUCUUAUUUAUUAUACCUCAUUUCACCAACCAAAACAACGUUAUUAAAUGAUAAAAAUUAUAUAUGAGAUUAUGCUUUAGUUAUAUAAACAACUAAAACAAAAUGGUUAAAAUAAAAUAAUUAUUUAAAUCUGAAAGAGAUUCUGCCUCGAAUAUUGUUUAGAAAAUCAAAGCCUAUAAUACCUCAUUUCAUGUUUCGAUUUUGAUAAUAACAGAAACAUAAUAUGCUGAAAGUAAAAUAAUUAUUAAUAUUAGAAAGAAAUUUGAUUUCAAUUUUUUAGAGAAUUGAAGCUUAAUAUCCAAAUUUAUGUUUCGGUUUUGAUAAUAAUUCAAUCCUAAUAUCUUUAAAAUAAAAUAAUUACUUAAAUAAAAAAGGAAUUAGGUUUUAGCACCAUCGAAGCCUAAUACCUACUUUAUCCCCUUUCAUAUUCUUGAUAUGUGUAUGAUGAAACAUGAAUAUGACUUUGAUUGUUUUUUAGGUUUAGAUUAUUAGAUAUUUUAGAUUUAGAUAAUUCUAGUCUUAUUGGAUAUUUUAUAUUUAUUAGAUUUUUAAUGUUUAUAUUAUUUUAGAUUUUUAAGAGUUUUGAUAAUUUUAAAUCUAUUAGAUAUUUUUUAUGAAAUAUAAAUUCCUAUUAGUUGCAUUCUUAAUUAAGAUUUAUUAUAAUUUUAGUUUUAUUGAAUUUUUUUAUAUGAUUUAUUGGAUGUUUUAUGUUGACAUGAUUUUAGUUUUUAAGUUUUUUUACACUUUGAUUAAAUUAUAGAUGAUUAUUAGGUGUAUUGUUAAUUUAUAUUGAGAUUUAUUAUAAUUUUAUAUGUAAACAUUAAAUGAAUCUUAAUUUCCCUUUUAGAUUUAAUGUAAAUGAUUAAAUUUUAAUCAUUUUAAAUCUUGAAUUGUUGCAAUUUGAAAAAAUUAUUUUUUAAAAUUUGGUAAUACUUACACAUUAUAAGUUUAUGCAUACUAUUCUCCUACUUGAUUACGGUCAUGAGUGAUUCGGAUGGUUCAGGACACAUGCCAAGUCAAUAAUGUAUUUGGUGUCCAAGAGGACCAGAUAGUUUAGGAGACGUGUCAAGUCAAACGAUGACCUAAGACAAAUACAAUAACUAUCUGCAACCCCCACUAGGAAGGUACGAUGCCCAAUCUACACAGACUGGCACAAGUUUUAACCCUACAAGAAUUAAGGUAAAUGAUGAUUAAUGAAGGUGAGUCGUGAUUGGACCGAGAUUAAGAAAUAACUAAUUACAGCUCAUGCCAGAAAGCUAUAAAUACAGGUCAAAGACAAGAGUAAGAAAGUUUUUUCUCUGCAUUGCGCAUUUAUUACUACUAUGUGUUGACUUGAGCGUAAGAGAAUUUGAGACCACGACCGAACAAUGUUCUAGAAGACUACUAGAAGAACCAGACGACUUUGAAGACAAAUUGUGUAGCUAUUGGGUAUAGCUCGACUCCACAACCGAAAGAUAACAACAUCUUCAGUUUUUUUAAAAUGCUAUUUUUUUUUUUUCAAAAUAUAUUAUGAAAUUUAAACAUUAUUAAAAACAAAUAUCGUAAUUUGACUAGACACAUAUUAGUUAUUUCAACUUUUGUAAAUUACAAGAAUUAAACAAUAAAACUUCGAAAAAAAAGGAGUAACCAAUUUCUUAACAGUAAUUUAAAAGAAUAAAUUUCAGGCUAAGAAAUCGGUUCUCAAACCCAUUAUUUAAGACGAACAGUAAUUUAUAUCAUUUAGCUACAUAAUAUAAGAGAAAUAUAUUAUUAGGGUUAUAUCAUUAAAGAAAAAGUCUAAGGAUAAGAAAGAUGGUGGGGAUCCAUGGCGGAUGAGACGGAGACAAGAUGGAGGGUAGGGCUGACGUGGCGCAUCGGUAUCCUAGUAUGAUGCUGCUGUCGCUGUCGAGGCGUCACAGCCACUCGUAUUUUUGUGUGGAGGAGACCAGCUGCCCUAAUUUUGCUGAUUUCAAAUAAACGCAUUUGCAUGUUCCGGCCGGUUUCAAUUUCUCUCAUGCACUUUACGUCCCAUCGCCAUCUUCCACCCAAUUCUUCAUAAUUCAUUUUUGGUCAAACAUGUAUGAUUCUCAAAUUCUUUAUUUUCUAUAUAAAUAUAAAUAUUUAUAUGUUAUCAGUAUAUAUGAUAUUGGAUGAGUUACAUUCCUUCGACCAAUUUUGCUAAUUUUUUAAUAUUUAGAGAUAAUUGAAUAUUAUAAUUUGAUACAUUAUUAGCAGCGUGGUUAUAAGGUAAAUCUUAUUCUUUUCUCAAUAAAAUUUGCCAAAGGAUCCUUAAUCAACCAUAUUGGCAUUCUGGAUAAAUUAGGAUAAAAAAUAAAAUAAGGGAAUAGAUAAGCAUUUUAGUUUUUCAAAUUCUUAUAUAACUUUCUUAGAUUCUUAUUUCUUUAAUUUAUACAUAAAUUAAUCAUCAUUUAAGAAGAAAUUAAUUUUUUUAUAUUUUCUAAAAUUUUUGUAGAAAAAUCUGGUCAAAACAUCAUUUGAAAAACAUACCACUUAUCUACUGAAAAAUAAAGAAAAAAACUAUUUGGUAAUUUUGAAAGAGUUUUACAUUCUCUAAAAAGAAGAUAGAAAUGAUAAAUUUUAUUGUUAUAUAUAUAUAUAUAUAUAUAUAUAUAUAUAUAUAUAUAUAUUAAAAUAAUUAAAAUUUUGGAUGUUAGAAAUAAUAAAUUAAAAGGUAAAAUUUUUAAAGAAAUUAUUUUAUAAAUAUACUGAUAGUAUUAGAAAUUAUAUUGUCGUCUAAUUGUUCUACCCUUGAUCUUACACUGUUACAGUUCUUUAGUUUAGUUUUUAUAACUUAUGGAGUAUUCUUACUCUUAAAAACUACUGACUUUUUUUUUUUUUCUAAUUGUUCUUCUAUAGAUGUAAUCUAAGUUCUCUUGUAUAUUGUCUUGUGGUGUUUUAAAUUUCUUUCAUGUUGGUAGAUAUAAAAUUCUAAUUUGUUCAGUUGUUUCAACCGAGCUAUAUAAAAUUUUGAUUGUAUAAAUUAAUGACAAUUUUAUAUUUCGAUUGCUAAAUUAAUGACAAAUUUUGGUUGGCUAAAUUGAUAUAAUUUGAUUAAAAAAAAUCUUGUUAAAGUACGAUUUCCUUUUUUUUUUAACUGAAAUAAAAUUUUGUUAAGAAAAUAUGAUUUCAUGAAAGUUGGUCUUUUGUAGGAACAUGUUUCUUCACAAUGUUCAAACUCAAGACAUUGAAUUUUCAAAAUUCUAAUACCAUUAAUACCAUUGUUAAUCUGUAGAAAGAAAACAAAAUUUUUUAACAAAAUCAAAGGUAACUUCUGUAGUAAAAAUGCUUCCAAAAACUCAAAUCGCAAUUUUCUGAGACGCGUAGAUCAGUGUCCGUAAGGACUUAUCUGUAUCUGUAGUGUAUUGCGCAAGUCUUCCAAGAUACAACAAUAUCAUAGAACUAAUAAGAAACUCAUCAUAAUCACUCAGAAUAAUUUUUAGAAAAAAAAAUAAUUAAAGAGAAUAAAAAAUGAGUGAUUUUAGAUAUUGUGUUUUGAAAUAUAUAAUAUUCAUGACCUAAAAUAUUUUUUAGAAAAUUAUUAUUUUAAUAACGUUUAAAAAUAGAUAUUUUGUAAUAUUAUAAUCAAAAUUUAUAACAAUUUCAAAAAGAAUGAAAUUAUAUCAUGAUGAUAAAAGGACCUAAGUAAGCUCUAUUUUUAGCGAUGAAAUUUACGGUGCUCACAUAUGCUUUUUGUUCUUUCUUUUUACGAUGGUGACAAUAAAUUUGAAAAUAUGACAUAGCAACGGUGCCUUCCUGCAUUUAAUUGGUUUUGGUAGACAUCUUUUCUUACUUCAUCUAGUUAGGAUAAUUAGCUAUAGGCACAUUUUGUCACACUCAAAUAUUUGAAAUUGAGGUACAUAUCAUUUUAAUGACCGACGACGCAUGAUUAAGGUCAACUCAUGUUUUGUUAUUAUUUGUCUCUCUCAAUCAUUGGUUUAACUUAACCACAAAAAAACAUAUGAGAAUUAUAAUUGAGGAGGCCAAAUACUGAGCAUAAUAACAGAGUACCAAUGACAAAAAUCUAACAAGCUGGAUAUGGUAACACGAAAAUAGAUAAUGCUGUCGCUAAAAGAUCAUGAAUGAAUGACAUGCCCAAAUAUUACACUAUGCAAGCGUUUUUUCUUUCAUCUUCUAUUACUACUUACAGGAUUAACUACGAUUGAAAUAACACGUUAAUCCACUAAAUUAGUACAGAACAUGUUAUUAUGACACAUACAAUUUUUACAUUUAUUUAAUAUUUUAUUAUUUUACCUUUUUUUUUACACAUACAAAAGGUUUGCCUUCUUAAUAAAUUUUGUAGUCUUAAAAGUAGGUUGUCAGUGGCUCUUUCGAUGUUAAAUGAAUUUUUAUAUUUAUAAAGAAAUUAAAGAGUAAAAUAAUAAAUAUAAAGUGAAUUUAAAAAUUUUAUGGGUGUUAAUAUAAAAAUUUUAGGGACCGAACUUUCAUCCAUAACAGAAUCUAAACGUAACACAGAUAAUAUUUGAGUGUAAUAAUAAUAUGUUUUCAAUUUAUAAAUUAAAAAAUGAAAACAUUUCUAUGAAUUAAUUUACACAUAAACUAAUAUCAAUUUAUAAUUUUUACAAAAUUUAUUUAUCUUAUUCAUAUUUUUCUCUCAUAAAUUUUUUUAAAAAAUGAUUAAAAUAUGCUGUCCUCUUUCAUAUAUAUAUAUAUAUAUAUAUAUAUAUAUAUAUAUAUAUAUAUAUCGGAAGUUCUUAAGUGCCCUUUUAGAUUUAAGUCUUUUUCUCAUAGGAAAAGAAAAGAAGAUAUUUUUUUCUAUCUCCUGGUGAUAUUCUUUCUUCGUGGCAAAUGAGAGUUCUUGGUAUACAGUUAGCUUUAAUGAAAGUCGUUAACGACUUAUUGACAAACACCGACUUUCAGCUUUGAAUCAAUAACCAGUAAACCAGUCUGUGUGGACUGUAAUUCAGGGAAGAAACUGCAUAACUUUCCAAGCUCCCAUACGCAAAUUAUGUGUGAAGAAAAGCGACACUUCAGAAAUCCUAAACUUUAAGGAAUAAAUUGUAGAAAGUGAAAAACAGAGAAAGUAGGUUAAGAAAAAGGAAACAGAAUAAGAUAACCUCAGGCAAAAAAAAAAAAAAAAUAGUAGCAAAUAGAGGCCGUGUAGCUACAAAAAGUUUGUCAUUGCUAAAGGUCAAUUUUAAUCUUCCCACUUGUCUGGAAACAGCUAGCGGAUUAACCGUGAGUCUGGUGCGAAUAGCCUCUGAACAUGAAUUUGAGUAUAAAGAAGCAAAAGCUUUUCAGAUGCACAACAUUGGACUCUUGGCUGUGAAUAUUGAGUCCUUGACAGUGACAUGUAACCAAUGAAAAAUUAUUCUAUAGUCUCUGAACUCGUGUAAAAUAGCUUUUGUACGAUAGAUAAUAUUCAAUUUUUAUAUCAUUAACCAAGAGUUAAUACAAUUUAUUCUCAUGGCAAGGGCAUGGAAUAUCAUUAGCUAAGAGUAAUGAUACAUAUAUAAUAAUUUUUUCUCAUACAUUAUUAGUUUACUGUUUUCCUAAUCUUGUUAAAUUACUUACUUAUCGUAAUUUUAUGAGUUAAAUAUGUUUUUAGUCUCUAUACUUUAUGACGAUUUUGAUUUUAGUCUAUUUUUAAACUAAGGUACAAUUUAAUUCUUCAAUUUUAGAAAAUUUUGGUUUUAGUCCUUUGUACCAAAUUCUUUUAACUUUAUUUAUUAUUUCAAACACUUUUUAUUAUAGCAUUUAGAUUGUUUACACUGUUUAACACAUUUUUGUUUCAAUAUUAACUGAUAAAUGCGUUUGAAAUAACAAAUAAAAUUAAAAAAAAAAUUAAUAAAAAAAACUAAAACUAAAAUUUUCUAAAGUUAAAAGACUAAAUUGUACUUUAGUUUUAAAAUAAAGACAUAUUUAUCUCUACUUUUUAUUUAGUUUGCUUUUUCUCUUCAUAUCUAUCAACUGUCCUACUCCCUUUUGGAAUAAAAAAAUCUAUGAACUUUCUUAAAAAUCACUUACGAAGAGUGUGAUACUCUCAGCUUAAAAAGGAACCACUUUAAUGAAAGGAUAAUUAAGAUAACAACAAGUCAGUGAAAAGAAAGCAUGCCAGACUUGGACCACAGUGACAAACUCGACUCAUUACUAGACAACAAUUACAAUAAUGAAAUGAAUGUACAGGAACCAAAAAUCUCCUUAUAGCAGCAACUAAGCAUACCAUAUAAACAGCUGUUACUCUCAAACUCCUAAUCCUAUUCAGACCACGAAAAACCAACUACAUCAUCCAUGGCAACCCCCAGCCCCACCAGAUUAUCCCUUGCCAUGGAGAGAACCGGGCAAUGGUAAACACCACUCCAAUCCUUCAUUCUCCAAUGCACGAUUUCAUGAAUUAAUUAGGGAUGUGCUAAUUUUAGUUGUUAUAGGAAUAAUAUUCACAUGGUCAAUUGUUAUUGCAGGAUUUUCUCCCCAGAAAUCCCAGCCGAUGUUAUUGUUACAGUGGGGGAAGCCGAUUUUUCUCUACACAAGGUACCAAAAUUUUUCACUUUUGCAAGGAACUUCAUAAAUUCUUCUUAUAUACGUGAAUUUGUGUAUUGAAUUUAUAAGUGCUGGAUUUUUUAAAACAGUUUAUUCUGGCGGCAAAGAGCAACUACAUCAGAAAGGUGAUAAUGGAAUCAGAGGAGAGUGACCUAACCAGAAUAGACCUCACGAACAUACCUGGAGGCCAAGAAGCUUUCGAGAAAUUAGCGAAGUUUUGUUACGGCGUCAAUUUCGAGAUCACCGUACACAACGUCGCUCCGUUGCACUGCGCCGCCGUGUUCCUGCAGAUGACCGACGAAUAUUGCAACGGAAACCUCGCUGGAAGAACGGAGGAUUUCCUCUCUCAGGUCGGCGUCUCCACUCUCCACAGUGCCGUCGCGGUCCUCAAGUCCUGCCAGCAGAUUCUUCCCUUCGCCGUCGAAGUCAACCUCGUUGACCGCUUCGUUGACGUAAUCAGCUCCAAGGCUUGCAGUGAGGCGAACUUUCCGAGCCAGUCCCCGCCGAACUGGUGGACGGAGGAGCUCGCCGUGCUAGACGUAGAUUCCUUCGCGAAGGUGAUUGCCGCCAUGAAACAGCGCGGCGCUAAGUAUCUAACCAUCGCCGGAGCGUUGAUCACAUACACCGAACGCACACUGCGGGAGCUCGUCCGCGACCACAGCGGCGGCGGAAGAGCAAUCGUGUCGUCAAAAUCCAGCGACUCGGAUUCGGAGUCGAGAAGAAGCGAACAACGCGAGAUUCUGCAGUCUAUUGUCCCGCUCUUCCCGACGGAGAAAGCAGCGUUUCCAAUCAACUUCCUCUGCUGUCUCCUGCGGUGCGCGAUCUAUCUCCGCGCGUCGAGUUCGUGCAAGCGCGAACUCGAGAAGCGCGUCACAGAGAUCCUGGAGCACGUGACGGUGGACGACCUCCUCGUGAUUACGUUCUCCUACGACGGCGAGAGGCUCUUGGAUCUGGACAGCAUGAGGAGAAUCGUCUCCGGCUUCGUGGAAAAGGAGAAGAGCACGACGGUGUUCAACGCUGGCGUCAACUUCAACGAACACUUCUCCGCCGCGAUGCAGCGCGUGGCCAAAAUCGUGGACACUUACCUCGCUGAGAUCGCCGCUUACGGCGAACUCUCCAUCUCUAAGUUCAACGGCAUAUCCAUCCUCAUUCCCAGAGGCGCUAGAAAAUCCGACGAUGAUCUAUACCGCGCCGUCGAUAUCUACCUCAAGGUACACAGAUUACGUAAUCAAGUUCCCAGAAAAAACGGAUUAACUAAGGAAAACGACACCUUUUGGAAUUAAACUAAUUAGCUAACAGUCAGAACGUUUUAUAAUCACCAUACUUAGUUGCUUGUUUAUCUUAAUAAACCCUAAAUUUCGAUAGAUUUGGCCAAUAACUGAAUAACUACCAUUAUGGUAACGCACUUAAAAUUGAGGUUAAAUUAUUUGAAUUAAUAAUUAAUUUAGUAUUUGAAUUUUCCUUCUUGUUUUUUCUUUUUUCUGUGACUGAGUAUCUUUAUUUCUCUUUAAACUCUUGAAGUAAUUAAAUUUUAUAUAUUGGAUAUCUAUCAGUUCAAUUGUUAAGUUAUCUUACUGACAUUCAAUAAUUAAUUAACUUGAUUUCUACUACUUAAAAAGUUUUCACAGUAUCAACAUUCAUUCUAAUAGAGUACAGAGUAUAUAUGUAAUUUUCUGAAUAUUAGAAAUUAUACGUUAAAUAAUAUUUUAAUAUUAACAAUUUCUUACAGCAACUUAUAUCAGCAUAAAAAGUUGAGCAGAAAUUAAAGAUACAAUGAUAAAGUUUUUUGGAAGAAAAAUAUAGUUUAUAUGUAACUCAAUUUGUAAAAAUUCUUUAAAUAAUUUAUCUAAAUUUCUAGUUUGAAUUUUACCUUUAUUAAUUUUAACUGAAAUAAAAUUAUAUUAAAAUUUGUCUAAAAUAUCAUUAAUCAUACAAUUUCUUUCGUACAAGAAUUACAAGUUGGAAUUUAGCAAAGGCACUGUCUAACCUAGACCUAAUCAGUGAUCAAGUAACUAACUAACUCCACACGCGCUCACUCGUGUUGUUGCAGGUGCACCCGAACCUGGACGAGAUAGAGAAGGAGAAGGUGUGCAGUGUAAUGGACCCACUGAAACUAUCAUACGAGGCGCGUGUGCACGCGUCGAAGAACAAGCGAUUACCGUUGCAGAUCGUGCUUCACGCGCUGUAUUACGACCAACUACACCUAAGGAGUGGUAUGGCGGAGGACAAGGAGGCGGUGGCGGUGGCAGCUGCAGUGGAGAAGAAACAGCUUCAAGCUGACGUGUCGCUGGUGAGGGAGAACGAGGAGUUGCGAUCGGAGCUGAUGAAGAUGAAAAUGUACAUUACCGAUUUGCAGAAAAAUGUGCAAGGAACGUCGUCGUCUGGGAAGGAAACUCCUGGGCCUGUUAAAAGGCCCACAUUUUUCUCAUCCAUGUCGAAGAAACUGAGCAAAUUGAACCCGUUCAAGAAUGGGUCUAAGGACACGUCACACAUCGACGAUGCCCCGGUGGACUUGACCAAGCCCAGAAGGCGAAGGUUCUCCAUUUCCUAGAUUUCUUCCAUUCAGCCAUCGUCACUGUUCUGUGAAUUCAAAUUUCCAUGCUUUUUAGUCAAAAUACAUCCCUCUUUGUUAAAAGUAUUUUUUUAAAAUUAGUUAUGUUUCUUUUUGUCUUUGUUGUUAUUUUUUUUUGUAAUGAAGGUGUUAAUUUGUAAUUAGUAAAAAGAGUGAAGUGUGAUUGGAUUUCUUAUACUUGUUUCAGUGUGAAUUAAUGAUAAUUACAAUUCAAUGUUCUGAUUGCUCCUAACUUCCCAUCAUAUUUUCACUCGCUUGUAUUAUUUAAACUUGAGAAAUACAUUAAUUAAUCAAUUAACAUAAACAUAGAUAUGAUUUGUUAUUGAUAAAAACCAUAUGAAAGUAAACUUCAAGAAAUCAUAAAAAAAUUAACAUAAAAUAUAGAUAAAUACAAAAUUAUUAGACAGAAUUUCCAAAUUUAGAUGAGAUUUGGAGGUCAAAUCGUUAUCAUAAACCUUUUGAUCUAACAGUAUCAAACAAAUCGAAUUCUCACUCCCACCUCAGCUCAAUAAAAGUUUUGUAAAGAGAUUUGUGAUAACUACUUUUGCAUGCUUCUCAGGAUUUUGUUAAUCUCUUGCAUUUGGAUUUCGAUUUCUUAUCAUCUCUAUAAUGCAAUGUAUUGAAUUUUAUAGCCUGUUUUCUCAUGAAUCCGGUCAGAGGUGGUGGUUUAUUUAUAAAAUGGGAAGUGCACAAAAUUUGAAAAAUGAGUGUAAUGGUGUAAAUAGCAACUCGCAUGUUUGCGGCUUCAUAUUGGGCCAACUUAUCUGAGUUCGGGCCCAACACCCUUCUCAGACAAGAAAUAACUUUGUCAUUUCCUUGUUCUAAUUCUUCCAUCCCGUUGGGAGCACGAAAUUGCAAAACCUAGCCUCUUCUGCAUAUGUAUGCGUCGCCGGAAUCUACAGAAGAACAGGCAAAACAGAGGGUUAUUGCAGUAUUUAUCGGUGAUAACAUACACGUUUGAAGAUAGAUAGCGAUAUUGAAUAUGUCUUCGAAUAAGAGCGAGGAGAAAUCUCAGGCCGCGGCGGAGAGAAUUAAGGCCGCGGCGUUGACUGCGGCGAAGGGGCUUAGCCGUGCGCAGGCAGAGCGGGCUGCGGCAGCGGCCGCACGGAACGUGAAUGCGUACGGGCAGAAGGAGGAGGGCCCCAGCCGAUGGCAGGAGAAGAGGGAGGCGAAGCGGCAGAUGUAUCUGAUGAGCACUGAGAAGGCCGUGAAAUUGGGCGAAAGGAAGGAUCUCAAGCCUUCGAGAUCCGCUUCUGGCGGCGCCGCGCAGUGUCAGAAGUGCUUCCAAAGCGGGCACUGGACUUACGAGUGCAAGAAUGAGAGGGUUUAUAUUUCUAGGCCUUCGCGGACUCAACAGCUUAAAAACCCUAAACUGAGGGUCGAUACGCCUGUCGCGUAUGAUUUGGAUUUGGAUGGCGAUGUUCCUGAUGGUGAUGAUAAGGAGGAAAAAGAGAAGAAGAGGAGGAAGAAGAAGAAGAAGAAGAGUGAAAAGAAACGACAUCGUUAUGAUUCAGAUAGUGAGAGUGACAGUGGGAGUGAUGCAUCUUCUGUCACCGGAUCGGAUUCUUCCUCUGAGAGUAGUUCUGGUUCUGAUUCGGAGGAAGAACGAAAGCGCAGGAGGAAGAAGCAGAGGAAGAGAUCAAGACGCAGCCGGAGGAGUUAUAGUUCGUCUUCAGGUUCGGAGUCUGAUACAGAUUCUGGUUCUGACUCUGAUUCGGAUGAUAAGAGCAGCCGGAGGAAGAAGAGGCGUAGUCGUAGGCGUUGAAUGAGAUCGUGGCCAGGUCCAUGGAGACAACCAUCAAGAUUCUGCGAUAUGGUGCUUUUUUUUAUUUGGCAAUGGGUAAUGUAGAGUUUUGCUGGAUGUUGAUUUGGUUGUUUGUUUAUCCUUUAUUGUUUCGACAUUUUAACUCGUGGUACUUACAACUUGGGUUUAUUUUUUCAACAUUUAGUUUUGUGGAUGUGCUUUGUGUUAUUGUGAGGUGCUGAAGAAGUUGGAUGAUUUUUCCAAUUUAAGCUAUCGUAUAAUUCUGUGGUACUUUCGCACUCAUUUUUUUUUUGCCCAAGACUAAGCCUUGUCACCACUCCCCUUUAAAACAAUGUCAUCGAAGUUCUUGUCACUCUUUAUUCUUUCGCCAAAAUUUAGCCGCUGGUCCUACUUGUCCUUUUCCGUGUCCAUCCCUUGUUUCAUUGUUAGCGUCUCUGUUUUGUUUUGUGCAGGUUUCAUUCUCAGUUUGCAGUUCGUGUCAAGGUAGUCUGCUACCAUAGCCGUCUUAAAAUCUUUAUAUCAAGCUAUAGGAAAUGACUCCCAGUUUUGGCUCCAAACAUAGAACCAAUGUAUUGCAACACCCUCAGAAUUUAGCAAUCCAACCAAUUGGGUCUGCCCCUACAAACGCUGACAACUCUUCCUUCUUAGCCCAAAUGUGUGUUUCUUCCAUCUCUAGCACUGGCACUAUCCUGAAGAUCCGGCUGGUAGGAUCAAUUUGUUAGGAACCAAGAGUUGCAAAAAGAAAGAAAAUAAUUUUUUUUAUUCAAUAAUAAAAAGAACAAGAAAUAUGGGAGCUCUCUCUGCUCCGGGGGUUUCCCCUUUACGAAGAGCUAAUGUUCAAUCCUCAAAAUGAACCCCCCACCCCCCUCCUUUACUCUAAUAUUCUCUUGUUUAUUACUAUAAUUGACGUGACCCAUGACAUCCUUCGAAGUAGUGACUAUUAUAUUUCCUUUUAUUCUCUUAACAGAACCCCAAGAGUUUUUGGUUUUCGUGCUUCUGGCGAUGUAUCUUUUCUUCUGCUCUCAAAUUCUUGUUACCUUACUUUAUUAAUCUAGAUUACAUUAAAAAAAAGACACAAUUUAGUUUUUCUGCAUCUAGGUUACCUCAAACUAACUGAUAUUUAGCUAUUUUCUUCUCUCUGUUAGCAUACUGUCAAUCCUGUUUCUUAACUGGAUUCCCUUUCCUUUUUUUAAUUAGGGUCGCUUGUCUUAUUCUAUUUGUGGGUUUGUGCUUGUGUAAGGAAUAUUACUCUAUCACCUUAUUUUGAAGCUCUAAUUCUCAGUAUUAAUAAAUAGGGUUGCUGGUUUAGUAUUUUCUAUCACAUCUGAUACAUCAUUAGACAAUAUAUCAGUGUAAUGGAUUAUUGAAACCCUCGUUUUCUUGCUUCCCUGCCUAUACCGUAUGAUUUCUACAAUUUUGGAAAAGUUUGUCUCUCGGUAUGGCUUGAUUGGAAUCUCUUCUCCCCAGUAUUGGUCAUUGAAAACUUUGUGUCUAUUUAUUCAUAGAUUGCUGAAAUGCAUAGAAUUUGGGAUUUAUAAUUUUUCAAGUUUCGUUACUGAAAUCAGAAAAUGCAAUAUUAUAAUGACCGUAUCUUUUCUCUGUUGUUCGCUGUGUAUGAAAUUAAGUUAGUAUUCUUUUGGGACGUACGAAGUUUUUAUAUUUUAUGUAGGCCAUUUUCUUGUUGAAAUGCUAAAUAAGCUCCUUAAGUCUUGGUACUGAAACUCGUUGAGUUCACUCCUAUUACUUGCAAGUGGCCCUGCCAUCCAUUAAAUUCUAACUUGCAUAUCUGUUCCAGUGUCCACAAAUAUCAAUACUAUAUAUGAUGUGUAGGUGGAAGAAGUUUCACUGUAACGCCUUUAAUCUAAAAUGUUUUAAUCUCUUUUAAAGUAAAAGAUAUGCUUCUUUGAUUGCAAUUUAUAGUAAAACUUAAAGUCUGCACGUUUAAAACUUCUCAUUUUUGCUGGUUAUGGAGGUUUUCUGAAAUUUCUGAAUGUAUGUAGGCACUUGCUCCAGGGGAAGAAUGCAUGGCAGCCAUUUUUGUUUGCUGUAACCCAACCUGUGGCAACCGUUGUGGGGACUAGGGAUUCUUCGUAACUUGGUCAAACGAAGGUUCAACGUAGGGAGGGGUAUUCAGCAUAUCAUUUCUUCACUCGUGGAUAUUUUUGCUCACUGGUUAUAAAAAAACAACUAUUAGCCCUCACUGUUUAAACUCCAAUCAAAUAUUGUUGACAUAAUUAAUGAUCUAAACCUUUAGUUUGUGGAUUAUUAAAGAAGUUUGCAUUUAGUUUGUGAACUCCUGAAUAUUUAAUUAAAGGGCAAUGAUUAGUAUUCGUGAGGACAUGUAACAACAUUAGUCAUCUAUGUUUGGAUUGAUUUCAUUGUUUAAAUUAUGAUGUUUAAUGUAUCUUUAGCUUAACUUAUGUUUGGAUUGAUCAAGAUGAAUUAGCAGGAAUUAAAACAAUGCUACAAUUAAGUUUUAAUAAUUGUUUACAUUGUUUAAAACAUGAUGUAAUAUAGCUAAAGAAAUGUAUUUAUCUCAUUCUAUCGAGGAAACAUGUGGAACAAAAAUUAUUUGACUCACAAGUUCACCAAUUAAUUAGCCUAAACUUCACGAUAUUUUCUUUACUAGCUUACGAGAUUUCAAGUUGUUUCAGUAAGUAUAAUAAUCAAAUUUAUGGAUUAAUUGUUUUCAUUUCCCAAGUGUUUAUUGAAUAAUAUUCAUUAAGCUAUUUAUUCUAGUGUGCUAGGAUUGACAGGACAAAAUUUGCCUUUGUUAUUCCAUGAUAUUUAAAUAACAAUAGAUGAUUUUUUUUCCAAUUUGCCAUUUCUUAUUCCUGUCUAAUAUACUCGUCCAUGGAAUCACAGAAUGUGUCACUGAUGAAAGUGGUUCCUAGUCAGUUUAAUAUUCUCUUUUUGUUAGUCUUUCAAGGAACAAAUGCUGUUGUUAUAGAACAAGUGUUGUUGUCAUAGAAGUGAAUGUAAAAUUAAUACUUUAUUAAUUUUACUUUAAUUUAGGAUUUAGGAUUCAAUCUAAUUCUCUUUCAUUUUUUAAAUUUAUACAUUUCUAGUUGUUUUCUUGUAUCAGGGGAUGAAACUAGAGAUGACAACAGGUCGAAUUGGAUACGGAUAGUGUCUAUCUGUAACCCCAUUUGUCGAAUAAAGUUGUAUUUGUUAUCCGACUCGUUAUCUGUUAGAUAUCUGUAUAAAAAAAAUUGUAGAUUUUUUUUAAUCUGCAGAUAUCCGUCGGAUACACGUUUUUAACCUGCGAAUAUUUAAAAAAAAAUAUUUUAUAAGUUUUAAAAUAAAAUCCUAAUUAAAUUGCAAAAUAAAUACAAAUAAUAUUUAAAACAUAUAUCCAAAUAAGGU
rnacentral:lncRNA from 1 species